AGAAGCUGAACAUACAUCAAUACUUACCUUUGAUUGAGAAAAUCACUGAAAAAAUUACCUGUUGGUCUGCAAAAUUUUUAUCCUAUGCUGGUAGAUGUCAACUUAUAAAGUCAGUACUAUUUGGAGUUCAAACAUAUUGGUCUCAGAUCUUUAUAUUGCCAAAGAAGGUGGUGAAAUCAAUUGAAGCUAUUUGCAGGUCCUUUUUAUGGACAGGCAAUGGAAUAGUGUCCAAGAGAUCACUGAUAGCUUGGGACAAAGUGUGUCGACCUGUUACUGCUGGAGGGCUAAACAUCAUUGACAUCCAGACCUGGAAUAAAGCAGCUGUUUCUAAAUUGCUUUGGGACCUUGCUAGGAAGAAGGAUUGUCUUUGGAUUAAAUGGAUUCAUUUUUAUUACAUAAAAAAUGAUGACAUUGAAACAAUGGCAAGUCCAAAGAAUGCUUCUUGGAUUUCUAGGAAGAUCAUUGACUGUAGAACUCAAAUUAUGAACACUCACAGUCUACAAGGUGAUCUCAUAUCUAGGUUGCAACAGGUAUGUAAGGCUGGAAAAUUCCAAAUCCAUAUUCUNNNNNNNNNNNNNNNNNNNNNNNNNNNNNNNNNNNNNNNNNNNNNNNNNNNNNNNNNNNNNNNNNNNNNNNNNNNNNNNNNNNNNNNNNNNNNNNNNNNNNNNNNNNNNNNNNNNNNNNNNNNNNNNNNNNNNNNNNNNNNNNNNNNNNNNNNNNNNNNNNNNNNNNNNNNNNNNNNNNNNNNNNNNNNNNNNNNNNNNNNNNNNNNNNNNNNNNNNNNNNNNNNNNNNNNNNNNNNNNNNNNNNNNNNNNNNNNNNNNNNNNNNNNNNNNNNNNNNNNNNNNNNNNNNNNNNNNNNNNNNNNNNNNNNNNNNNNNNNNNNNNNNNNNNNNNNNNNNNNNNNNNNNNNNNNNNNNNNNNNNNNNNNNNNNNNNNNNNNNNNNNNNNNNNNNNNNNNNNNNNNNNNNNNNNNNNNNNNNNNNNNNNNNNNNNNNNNNNNNNNNNNNNNNNNNNNNNNNNNNNNNNNNNNNNNNNNNNNNNNNNNNNNNNNNNNNNNNNNNNNNNNNNNNNNNNNNNNNNNNNNNNNNNNNNNNNNNNNNNNNNNNNNNNNNNNNNNNNNNNNNNNNNNNNNNNNNNNNNNNNNNNNNNNNNNNNNNNNNNNNNNNNNNNNNNNNNNNNNNNNNNNNNNNNNNNNNNNNNNNNNNNNNNNNNNNNNNNNNNNNNNNNNNNNNNNNNNNNNNNNNNNNNNNNNNNNNNNNNNNNNNNNNNNNNNNNNNNNNNNNNNNNNNNNNNNNNNNNNNNNNNNNNNNNNNNNNNNNNNNNNNNNNNNNNNNNNNNNNNNNNNNNNNNNNNNNNNNNNNNNNNNNNNNNNNNNNNNNNNNNNNNNNNNNNNNNNNNNNNNNNNNNNNNNNNNNNNNNNNNNNNNNNNNNNNNUUAUUAUCCUUAGUGUGGUUAGUUUUAUAGAUGAUAUGUAAUAAUAUAGCUUGAUAGCAGUGAAUGAUUGUAUAGCAAGGUCAAAGGAUUAGGAUGUGGUAGUUAGUCUAUACUACCACAAAAGAACACUCCAUUGUAUAUUUGUUGAUAUUAAUAGAAGCAAUAUUCAUAAAAAAAAAAAAGUUACUGAAAAUCUUAUUGCCUAGAAUGGUUAUAGAAAUAAAAUCUGCCAAGCUACCCAAGGACUCCACGGGCCCGGGAUGGUGUGGCGAUCCAGUUUCUAAGAACAACUCCUUUCUCCUUAGUCUGAAUAGUGAGGCCUUCAUCCUCCUCCUCCUCCUCUUAAAUUGUUGCACUGCAUGUUUCUAGCUUUUCUUUUGUUUUUAGGAUCACUUAGAAGAGAAGGAUGGGGAGGACCUUUAGGUAUGGUGAUGAUAAGCUGAUGAUGCCAACAUGAGCAAACCAAACUUAGGGGAUAGGAAUAAAGAAUACAAGGAAAACAACAACGUAAACAAGUCAGUAAGGGUUCUGAAAUGUUUGAAGUAUUUAGACACAUAUUACGAGAAUGUAAAUUUGUGUCCUAAUUUGGGGGCUUCAUUAUGCCCGAGGUAGGCCUAGCGACAAAGAUUUGGAGAACAUUAGAUGCGAGUAAAUGCCUCAUUUAAUAAUAUGAAAAUAGACAUAUCCAAAAAUGAUACUAUGAUAAUAGAAAAGUAAAUCACUAUUGGAACUUGGCGUUAUUACAUUUAAGAAAGAAACUAAAUCUAGCCUACACGGUCUCAGAAGGACCUUCCCCAAAUUCAACUUCCUGACUCCAUCAUAUAGGUUCCCCAGUUCACACAGACCCAGCAGCGGGUAGGCUCUGGCCAAAUGUCCUCCUUUACUUCCUUCAGCAUUUUUGCAAUCCUCAAUCCUUUUUAUGACUUUACCCUCCAGCUCCACUAAUCCUCGCUCCAGAUAUUCCAACUUUUUGUUGAAAUUGACAACCAUGAUGCAUGCACAAUUAUGAUCAGAGUAAGGUUACCAUGGGGUUCUAGACUGCUACACUCAAGCAGACAACUUGAGGGGGAAGGGAACGAAACCGUCUAUUCCACCGAUGAUCGAGUAGUUCUACUGGAAAUAAGACUUUCCAAAUUUAAGGGUAAUAAAUUGGAAGAGCACAACCACUCAUCAAGUGUUGCUAUAAGAUUUCAUACGCAUGAGUGGAAUAUGAUGUGGACCAUGAUUUAUGCAACAAUAAAUAGCAUGUUUUUGGGUAUUUGUACAUAGGAAAAAUAAUAAAUACAAUAUUUAAAAAAUUGAAAGGAAGUUACAGAAAAAGAAAAUAAAGAGACAAGUCAGUUUAUGAAAAAAAAUCAUAAAUGCUUGAAAAUAGACAGUUAAAUUUGUGAGCAUGUGAUUUUUUCCCUACAAUGAAUUGCUCCUAUAAAUAUAAAUAACAUCAUUUCUUUUAUUGGUUUGCAAUAUUGUGAAUUUUUGUGGCAUCCUUCGUUGUUUGCAUUUUGUUUGUGCAUUUUGAUUAGUGAAAAUACAUAAAAUAUGUUGCAUAUACAUUUAGGAAUUAAUUUCACAUUUUAAGAAUUAUUCAGUAAUUUAGUCAUUUCAUAGAAACGAACAAUAAAAAAUAUGGCUUAAUUUGAACUUUAAAGUUUAAGUUUGAUAUUUGUUUUUCUAAUUUUUCUCUUAAUCUUAUUUUAAUUGUUUUUGAUAAUAAUUAUGUACGAGUAAUUUUGAUUUUUAUAGAUUAAUUUGGUAUUUAUAUUUUUAGAAAUUUUUGACAAUGAAAAAUGAAAAUAAAAAUGAAAAAACUAGUGAAAGAAAAUCUGAAAAUCAAUUAAAUAAAAAGAGGACCCAAGUUUGGCCAUUUUUAAUGUAAAAUGCAACCCAAAACCCGGUCCACCCCACACCCAAAUCCGGUCCAGUCCCCUGCACCAACCAAAAGAUGUUGUUUCGAAGCCAAUCAAUCAGGGCCGUUUGUUUUGUUUAGUCGAACAGUUGAGAAGCCUGGAUCGUUUGAUAUAAUUGUGUCCAAACAACCCCCCCCCCCCAAAAUAACCUCGUACUCUAUCUCUAACCUCACCCUUAGAAACCAUAGCGCUACCUCCCUCCGCCAUGCACCACCGGUCGUACAUCGCCACCAAAUUGACACCCCCUGAUUCCUCUUAGCCUCAUGUACCCAAAUCUAUAACCCACUACUCUCGAAUACCACCACAUCCCGUUGAAUAUCAGUUUGAAAUACGGCUCCUUCGCCGUGCACGGCGGCGCUACCACCCAACCGGAUCUCAAAUUAACACCAAAUGACCUCCUAGACCUUAUCAUCAUCAACACCCAUGUAGUUUCCCUCAAAUCUAGGCUGAUCAUCUCAAAUAUUGAAUAAAAAAACCUCGGCCAAACCCUACCACCACCAAAACACCAAAAAACCACACCCUACACUCUCCUCACCUCCCUGACCUUUGAAUCACAACCAGUCUCCCUCGACUGUCCAUGAAACUCCUCAAAAUUUGAAUCUAGGGUUUCCAAAGUGGUGCAUGAAGAUUUCCAGUGUUCAACAUAAAUUUUUAAGCUAAUUUUUCUGUUUACUUUUAAAUUUCAUUCUUCUUCAUCUCAUUUCUGUAUAUUUGGUUGUUAGUGCUUAAUUCCAAGGUUUAGGUUAAGUCUGUAGUUUGGUUUAAUUAAAUGGUAUUAGUCUUUUUUGUUAGUUUGCGCUUUCAUGUCAAAUUAUGUUGGGUCGAAGAUUAGCAAGUUUAAUUGAUUUUCAGUCUUCUUUGUUUGGAAUUGAAUUUAUGAUUUUUGUCAAGUUACUGAGUCUUGAUUGAAUUCCAAUUCUUUUAAUUCCUGAGUAUAGUUUAGUAGUAGUAGGUCUUUGUUGGAUUUCAUGAUUAAAUUCUGGAAUUUAAAUUAGGUCUCGAGCAUAAUAGUCAAGUGGUGUCAGUCUUAUUUGAAAAGACCUAAGUUCAACAAUCAAUUUGUGUUAAUCGGUCCGGAUUGUAUGCAUCUCUUCUGUUGAAUGACUUUUACGUGUAAUUCUUCGGUUUUAAACUAGGUCCAGUAAUUUAGUAUUAGGUUGGUUAAUUAGGUAAUCCUACAGUUUGAAUUUUCUGCAUGGUUAUUAAAAAAUUCCAUACUUGAUCUGUAUGGAAAUAAUGGUAGUUUGGGUAUUUAAUUAAGGGAAACUGAAAUAGGAAGCCUCUAGUAGAGUCUUCCUAUCAAGUUUGAUGUAAAAUCUUGGCAUCCAAGUUAAAAAAUGAGGGACUAAAAUACAAUUUUAACACUGUAAGGGCGCCCUAGUUUGCUUGCCUAUCUUCUUUCUUUAGAAGGUAGAUUGAGGAGGAUAGAAAAAAAAUCUAAAAAAUACAGCUAAAAAUUUGAGUAAAAUUACUGUUUUAUUGAAAAUUCAUUAUGUGAUUUUUCAAAAGGCCAAUUCCUGAAAGUAUAGACCAAUGGAUUUGAUUUAGAAAUGAAUUGAGAUUGGGGUGUUGGAGGUUUGGGGUUUGAAAUUGAUGCAUUGUUCAAGGGAGGAUGUUUUCUAGUAUUUUCAUAUCCAUGUUGAUUUUACUGAUAUAUUGCUUGUUCAAGUUUGGGUUUAGGUUGAUCUUCUUCAGUCUUUUCUGGGAAAUUUUGUCUGUUGAAUAUUAUAACUACUAUUGUUGAGUCUUGCUGUUGAUUUACUGCUAUUACCUAAGCUCAUAGCUUCUCUAUUUAUUGCAAUAACCAGGUAUGCAAUUCUGUAAAUCCCUGAUUAUGAAGUGAAGGAAAGAAAUGAAAUGAAGGCUUGAAGUGUUGUACUAGAUUUUGUAGUUUAUUUACAAUAUUCUUCAUAAAAUUUGUAUAUUUGACAAUCUGAUGCAACAUGAUGUGGCUUGCCUUUAGAUAGACUAUCUAUAUCAUUGUUUUGUAACCGAACUAAGGACUGUUAGAGACUUCAGUAAUUUUUUAUUUAAUAUGCACUUUUAGAAUUGUUAAAUAGGUACUUAGUUGAUGUGGUAUUUUGCAUGAAUUAAUUGUAUGAUAUUGUGGGUUAUUCACAGUUUAUCAUGUUUCAAACGUAUUAGGGUAUGAUAUUGAAUGUAAGUUGGUCAUCAAAAAGGUUUCAUUCAUGAAGUUAGGGUACUAAGUAAUGGUCGAAGUUCCCCUAAAACCAAUUUUGGAAAUUUAGAGUAUCAUGAAUCCAGGAUAGUAGUUUAAUUAUGAGUUGUAUUUUUAGUUGUGUUUUCUUUAAGUGGUUCGAUUUAUCUUGUUGUUAUUGGCUUGUGCAUCGAUUUGUAGCCAUGGGGAUUCAAUCCCAGGGCUUCGUAAUAUGAGGCUACAGAUUCUUCAGCCUCUUUUUGGGCUGGAAUUUGGGCCCACUUCCCCUCCCCUUCGUUAAUAUAGAAGUCUUUGCACUAUUCCUUUUGGGCCAAUGUUUAGUUUAGGCCCAAAAUCCUAAAGGGAAUUUAAAAGAGUAAUCUAGCUAAUUGUAUUUGGAUCCCUCGACCACUAAUUAAGAGAGUUUAUCAAAUACAAAUACUUACGGCUUUAUAAAUUUUAGUUUAAUCUCCUAUUAUAACUAUGAUCAAGUUAUGCCAAUGCUAAACAAAAUUGAACAAUUGCAAUGCCCUCAUUUAGGUAAUUUUUUAUUGAUCCUUAGAAUUUGAGGUGUGCCGCAUAACUAAAAUUCCACAUCCCUCGUAAAUUGCAAACGCGUAUUCAUUUUAAGCUCGGUAGUUAAAUAGUGUACUUUCCUAAAUACGGGUGCACAUUUAAGUGACUCAAAUCCAAAUCUCAACGUUAGGUAGAAUGUGUUACGGGCUGCGGGUGCAUUUAUGUGAUGUCGUUCAAAAUGCAUUUUAACGACGUUGCAAUCUUCUUAAAAACUAAAUAAAAGCGGUUAGAAGUUAAUAUUUUCUCAUGGGUACAAAAAUGCAUUAAAAUCGGAUAAUUAAUCCAAGUAUAAGAGUUGAGUGACCGUGCUAGAACCACGGAACUCGGGAAUGCCUAACACCUUCUCCCGGGUUAACAGAAUUUCCUACCCAGAUUUCUGGCUCGUAGACUAUAUACAGAGUCAAAAUUUCCUCGAUUCGGGAUUUAAACCGCUGGCUUGUGAAAUCUCUAAUUAUCCCAAGUGGCGACUCUGAAAUCUCUAAAUAAAUGAAUCUUGUUUCGAUUUUCCUUUAAUUGGAGAAACUCCAUUAUCCACCCUCUUUCAUUGGGGUUGUAGUGUUUAAAAGGAUGUGUGACAGCUCUGGCGACUAUGCUAGGCCAAACCCAGAAUCUUUUGUUCAGUGUUCAAGAAUUCGAGCUUUAAAUAAUUGUUGUAUUUAGCUUUAUUAUUAUCUGAUUUUAUUGCAUAAUUGUACCCAAUGUGUUAAAUGCUGUUUUACCGCUUUUAUAUUUUUUGGACUAUAUAUAAAUUGUCGCGAAAUCCUUCUCUUCUUAUCUUCGAGGAUGUGCUCGCUGGUCGAGACUCCUUAUUCUUUUAGUGUCAUAGCUUCAAAUAAAAAAGAGGCUCGGACAAGUUACAAAGGGCCUUUUGGUUCCCAGUACGUAGCCCCUCCUCGACUCGAGUUGUCCACUCAGGUACACAAUCUAGACCUUAUACCAAGGUUUUUAACCUAGAAUAACUUAACCACAUGCCGGAGCCCUAGUAGAAUCUCUUAUUUACAUCAUGCAUUUGACUUAAGGGACUCAACACAGGGGUUGGGCAAGUCUAGGAUAGUUGAACCCAAAAUAAUGGACCAUCCUGAUGCAUUUUGUGUGCUAUUUGUGCAUUUAUUCCGGAUUUUCAUGCCAAUCGCUUUGUUACAAGAAGAAAAAAAAGAAGAAAAAAGAGAAGAAAAAAGGAGAAAGGAAAAUCUGACAGUGUGAGGGGUGAGAGGAAUUUACCCGGGUUACAAACUGAUACUAAAAUACUGCCAAAAUUAUGACAAAACAAUGAAAAAAGUCAAUAAAAACCCCCCAAAAAAAGAGAAGUCUAUUUUCAAGAAAAGUAUUUCUAUUUUUCAAAAACAAAAACAAAAAAAAGAAAAGGAAAAGUAAAAGUUGGCUUUUAAUUCUGCCCGAACUACGCCAGUUUGAUUCUCACAGGGUGUGAGAUACGUAGGAAACCCCCAUCAGGCCCAACUUCUUUUUUAUGAAAAUAGCCAAAAAAUAACAAGAUCUUGCUUGUGAUUAACAAAUAAAGCAAUUUAACCAAAAUUAGCCGAGUGUCCCUAAAAGGACGCCGGAAGGCUAUUUUUGCAAGAACAGCCACCUUGGAUUAUUUUUCAAAUGUUGGCCAGUAGUAGGAACAACCUUGAAAUCUUCCCUUGGAAGUGCUGAAAGGCCAUAUUUACAAGGCCGGGAUUUUAUUUUUGAAAUAAAAAUUUGGAGAAAAAAUUAAAUUUUGUUUUGAGUCCAAUAAAUCAUAAUUUUUGCUUAAUCACCCUAAUAAAUGUGCAGAAUUAGCACAAAUCAAAAUUUGCCAAUCUCAGUCAUGAACAAGAUCCCAUUGGAGGUACACAUGUGGUGGAAUGAUCUAUGUGAAUUUGGGUUAAACAGGGUCAACACGUACUUGGGAGGACUUAUCGGGUUGUUGAAAAUUAAUCCUAGAGGAUACAUCAUAAAAGCAUUGGCUACAUUCUGGGACCCCCGCCAACAACGUAUUUCAUUUCAUGGACUUUGGAUUCACUCUGACCCUGGAAGAAAUAACUGGAUUUAUCAGAGUUCCCAAAAUUCCUCUAUGACAUCAGUAUUUGAUUGCACAAAGGGAUGUCGUUGUGCACAAAUUCCUAGACUCAUUGAAAAUAAGUAGAGGGGUUCACAAUCCAGAUAUGUUAGCUGGAUUUAGUACUCCAAAGUUUAUAUACCAAUGAUAGGGGCAUAUAUUGGGGGUUUAAUAACCCAGAAAACAAAAUUUGUAGCAAGGGAAACCAGCUCAAAUGAGAGGAACACAAGUGUUUAGCAUUUAUGGUAUUCUUCUUAGGCCUUUUGGUGUUUCUGCGGAAGGACGCAAAUAUUGACAUACGGAUAGUAGGGGUUGUCAACACUUUGCUCACUCAAGCAAAGAGCACCCUCGCACCCAUGCUUUAUCUGAAAUUUUUUUGUGUCUUCACAUCCUGUAAAGCUGGGGGACACAUCUUCGAAGGAUGCAAUUUGUUGUUACAGAUGUAGAUGGUUGAACACCUGUGUAGCCAACCUCAAUUCAUGAGUUAUGGGUCACCAGGAAGGAGCCGCAUAGAGGAAUUUGAUACCAGAGUUGAUGUCUCUAGGUUACCUAAAAGAGUUACAUAAUGGGUAUCAUAUCUCCGUGUAAUAAGCACAUGUCAAAUAGAGUGGACGUUCGGGUAGCUCCUCAUUGAUGAAGUUAUAUAUAUGCCAGCCACCGAACCUUAUUUCCUUCAAAUGGAUCUCCGGAGUAUCAAACCGUAUUCUCCAUAUAGAGUGCUAAAACAGUUAGGGAGAUGCCAGAUGAUCCCCAAGGAUGAGGACAUUAGUCACCAUGUGGUCAAGAUUGGUCCCAAUAGUCAGUUUCCCGAAGCAACAGUCCGUCAUAUUUGGAGCGAAUGUCAGUACUUGACAGCGGAAACUCGAGUAUGUGACUUAUCUAACGGUGAGGUUGCACCAGGGUACCUUGCUUGGUAUAAAAAAAAUAGAGUUCGAAUGGCUGGCUAAGAGGCUAUAUCUACAGCAAUUUGCUAAGGCGUCACAAGAACAAUGGAAUUGGUUAGCCAAGGAAAAUAAAUAUAGGUCCACGAUAGGGAAAUUGAAAAGGCAAGUCAAAGACCUUCAAUUCAAAAAUGGUUUGGAAGAUGCGGUAGACGAGGGGGAAAAGAAAGGACUAGGCAAAGAAAAUGAAGCUUUGCGAGCCCAAAUUCAAAAAAUAAAAAUAGCCGCGGAGAAUCACGCUAGAAGUAUAAAGAUGAAAAGCUCAUAUACAAUUUGAGCCUAAAAGUAGGAGAAUAUGGUUUUGACUUGAACAAACCAGAGGGUGGGCUAUCCAAGGCUCGGAAAUAAUUGGCAAAAAAUAAAAAGGAACGAACGCAUGACUAAACAACUAAUAAAAAGGUAUGACAACGAGGUUGCUGGAUUGAAAAGGAGGGUCAUCAUGGUUGAAAAAAAUGGUUAAGAACGAUACGAACUUCAAGGCUGAAAGGGAGCAUUGUUACACAGCAAUAGCACGGUUGGAAAGAGAUUUACAACAAUUUCAAGAACUGAAUCAUGUAGCCGAAUAAACUUUGGAGGCGAGGGCCCAGCAAAUCGGGCGAUUGUUACAAGAAAAGGGUGCUACAAGAGAGAGUACGGAUGAUCGCUGAUUAUAUCACCAUAAAGUGUAGCCACUGUAAAGAUAUGACAAGAUCUAUGUUCUUCGCCACCGCCAUGACCUUUGUUCGUCAAGUAAUGGAAGACCUCAACCACCUCUAAGGGGAUUUAGCACGCAAGCCUGCGGCGAGAAAUGUUGUCCAACGGGCCCUAGGAGCAUUAGAGGCUUUAAUGUAUUCAUCAUUUUCAAAUCUAUUGGUCCAUUUGAGAGUCUGCAUUUUAUUUUAUUUAAAGUUUAUAAUAGGUUGUCAAGUCAGUUAUUUUCAUUUUAAGUUAGAGUCUGUUGUUUUUUUUGAGUUUGGAGUUUGUUAAUUUCCUUCAGUAAGUUGUAACCGACUGCUUUACUUUAUGAAAAUUGAAGAAAGAUCUUUAAAAUAUAUUUUGUAUUUAUUCGCCAAAACUACGCUCGGUCUGAUUCAUGUGCGGUCAUAAUACGUAGGCAAUCUCCAUAGGAUUCGACCAUAACCAAUAUAAAGAAAAGGUGGUAAAAUAAAGGAGAAAUAAUGAAAUGAAAGGUGUAGGUGAAACAAAUUGAGUAGGAGAUGGAAGAAGGAAAGAGGAAAAAAAGAGAGAUAAAAAAGGUGGCAUAGAAUAAAAGCCGGGAUAACACAAGCGAUCACUUCAUGUGCAUAAUAGAAAUGGAUAACUACUUAGGUGCAUCCAUUCCCGAACAUGUGGCUACCUAUGUGCUGAAACCUAACCACUAAUAAGUAUUGGUGUUGUCUUUCCUAUUCCAGACAAGUGGUUAGUUUUUUUUGCGGCAUUCUGCAACACAGUCCCACAACACUCUAUCCAAAAGCAAGCUGAUUAAUGCCAAUGAAGAAACUGAUAUGCCAGUAUCAUUGAUUCAUCGAAAGAGGUAGAGGAGUUGGACGUUAAUGCAAUGAAAGAUGAAAUGUACAAAUUGAAACAUCAGAUGGCUGAGAUGUAUCAGGCAUGGGUAUGAAGGCAGCCACCACCAACUUAUCCUGUUAAUCCCAACUUCAUCCCACCGCUAGCCCAGUCACAUGACCAUCCUACAACUGAUCCACCCCAAAUUUUCCCCUUCUACCCACAAUACUAGGGUACGACUUCUCAAGCACCCCCAACUCCACCACCCAAAGUUGUUCCUCACCCCCCCUCCGCCAGUUGCUCCCUUUUAUGUGGCACCUCCUCCCCGCACACUCCACAGAUUAUCUAGCAAACCUUUCCUCCAAGCUCAUGACAACCAGUAUCACCUCUCCAUCCCGAACCCGCCUACAAAUCCAAUGAACCUUACUCCUAUGCUCCCCGUUUUGAAGUCCCUGUGGUGGCUGAAAACCUAGUCAAGUGUUCCUAGCAAGAGGAGGUGAUCAGGAAGAUCAUAAGCUUAGAACAAUCAUUUAGACAUAUGCGAGGGUUAGGUGGCCAGGUGAUUGUGGCUUUCAAAGAUGUACACGGUGAUCCACUCGCAUAUCUAAAGGGUUUUUGUAGCAGAAUGAGAGGAGCAGGAGGAAAGGAUGAAUUGCUAAUGGCAUGCUUCAGUCAAAGUUUAAAUGGGUCGGCGUUGGAAUUGGUACAUCCGGCAGGAUCGUGCUCGGUGGUACACUUGGGAUGAUCUAGCACAAGCAUUCACUUGUCACUUUCAAUAGAAUCUUGAAAUUAUCCCGGACCAUAUGUCUUCUACAUAAUUGGAAAAGAAGCACAAUGAAAGCUUCAAAGAAUACGGCUUCCGUUGGACGAAACAGGCAGCGAAGGUCGACCCCCGAAUGAAGAAAAGUGAAAUGGUAGAUUAUUUAUUGCAAGCUUUGGAGCCUACAUAUUUUUGUUAUCUGGUAUCAGUGGUAGGUAAAUUCUUCAAUGAGGUAAUGAAAAUGGAAAGUAUGGUUGAGGAAGGACUCAAAUCCAACAAGAUCAUGAGUUACUCUGAAAUCAAAGAAACCACCCAGUCUAUCCAAAGCGGGACCGAAGGAAUAAUGGGAAAGAAGGAGAGGGAGAAGGUAGCAACCAUUGACUCAGGGACUUGGUUCGGGCCCCAGGUUCCAUCCCAUUACAGCCAACCACGUCCUCACCACCCAAUCUAUCCACACACUUCAUAUGGCCCAACAUAACAUUACUAUCUAUCUCCGAACACCCGUUUCUCAGUCCAUUAUGCACAAAUAUAUACCCAAUCUCCUGCCCAUGCACAAUGGCUUGUGCUAACUCCACAAAAUAAUUACCGAGUUCCCCGAAACACUACCCUUCAAGAGCCUACCAACAACCCCCGAGACCAACUUUCUCGGCCAACAAAGCUUUAAAAACUGAGAGAUGCAGAAGAAGAAAACUUUUAAUCCAUUGGGAGAAUCAUAUACCAGUUUACAGGUUGAGGCAGCUAGACAUGUUGAGGCCGAUCGAAGCAAAAUUGUCAAACCCUCCCCUAAGAAAUCUAGAUUAUUCUGUCAACCGUGAGUAUUGUUCCAGGGCCCCAGGGCAUGGCACGCGAAAAUGUUGGCAUCUAAAGUGUGCUAUUCAAUAACUCAUUGAUUCCUAUUGAAUUGAGGUGCAAGCUUUGAAAGCACCAAACAUUAAUCAAAACCUGAUGCCUGCUCAUCAAGAGACAAAUAUGACCGAGAUAGUGCACAAAGAGAGAGAUCCCAAAAAGCCUUUGCAAACUGCCAUGAUGAUCCGAGCCAGUGAACAGAAGAUGGGUGAGAAUUUGACAAGUAAGAUGUCGAUGCUCAAGUUGAGCGCAGCAAGUAGUGAGCCUGUUGCUAUAGUCAAGAAGGAAUCCCCAAAAGACGGGAUGGUGAAACAUGAGAAUGCAAAAGUGGUUGUAUCAGGGGUAGUUGUGAGCAUGUGAUUUCUGCCUCACAUGAAAUGUUCCUAUACAUCCAUUUAAUUAGGAUUUUUCUGUUAUUAUUUGAAUUUUUAGGAAUCAAUUGUGUGACUUUGUGUUUUUUUUUGCAUUUUUCUUUUAUUAUUUGAACUUUUAGGAUUUAUUUUGCGUGAGUUUGUGUUUGUUUGAAUUUUAGGAAUUAAUUGCAUAAUUUGUGUUUAUUAGCAUGUUGCACGUUUUAAUUAAUAUAAUAAAUAAAAAAAUAGCAUGUUUGCAUAGGAUUUGAAUUUAACAUUUUUUUUGGUUAUUAAUUAGUUAAUAUUGAAAAUGAAGGGAAAAUGACAAAAUUGAUUAAUUUUCGUUAAAAUAUAGGACUUAGGAGUUUAUUUAGUUUAUUUCAUAAUAAAAUAUAUUUUGGAUACUUUAGUUUUAUUAUUAUAAUAUCCGAAAAAAUAUAUAAUGAAACAAAAUAUACAAAAAGAGAAGGAUAAUUGAUUCUAUAUAAACUGGGUCUCCCUAAUAAGAGACCCAUAAUUUGGGCCACAUUUUCCAGCCCAAGUAGCCAAACCCCACUCAAACAUACCCAAACCCAACCCCUUGCCCGGUCCAAAAACCCCAGGUGCCCAAAACGAGUCGUUUUAUGUCCAUUUGAUCUUAGCCGUCCAUCACCCCUCAUCCCACGGUCCAGAUUUGCUCUCACAUCUUUAAUAAAAAUGUCUGAACAAUACUCAUAACCCUAGAGACAUUUCCAAUCUUCCUCAUACCAAAAUAACCACCGAUGUAACGCCGUCAUCAAACCAUCACCUCUCCACCGUCCGUCGCCGGCCGAAAAUCGCCACCGCCGCCGGCGUAACUCCAAAUCGCCCCAAAUUUACACCCUAUAUUCCCUGUCUUCUACUCUUCCCAAUCCCCCUAAUAUCACCCCUCGAAACCCCAUAGAACUCGUCGAAUAACCGUUCGAAGCAGGGCAGCUCCGUCGUCCACGGCGGCACCCGGUGUCCAACCGCUCCAAAAACAAUACCACACACUCCUUCUCACUCCCCUCUUUCCAACCCCAUCAUCAGUCACCUUCGAACAUAGCCCCAACCCUUCGAAUAUCCAUUAGAAAUGGGAUGUUUCCCCGUGCACGGAGGUGAUCAACCUCCAAUGCCUUCCAGACCAUCACCACCUACCCCUAUGGCCAUCCUCUACCCAAACACACACCUACUUCCUUUCAAGUAACUCCUAGAACCCUCCAAUUUCAGAACCAUCCUGACCUAAUUUUGAGUUCAACCCAUAGAAGACUGUUUGAGUUUCGAACGGAGUCACACGUUUUGUUUGGCCCAAAAACAAACCUGUGACUCUACCUGGAGGCUCAAAUUGAUUUCAACCAAGUUUAAUUGAAGAAAAAUCAGUAAUUUGCCUUUCUUUUUUCUUCUAUUUUGUUUUUGUAUUAUGUGAACGACUCGUGUGGUUUAAACUUAGUUGUGAAUUCCAGUUAGACACUAUGUUUUGGUUGCUCUUAGCAUAAUACCUUCCAUAUUUUUUUUCUUGCAAUUUCAAUAGUAUUCUUGAUUUAUGAGUUUGAGUGCUGAUUAAUGGUUCGCAUGCAAUUAGGAAUUGGUCACGAUUGUUUUGGUUUGCUUUUAGUUGUAAUCCAGCAUAACAACCUCUAGGUUUUUCUUUUAAUUUCAAUGGUUUGAGUCUUGAUUAACAGUUUACAUAUAAUUAGGAGAUUGGUUAUGUUUUGUUCUGCUUGUUUUUAGUUUUUAACUGUUUUUGGCCAGCAUAGUAGCUCCCAGUUUUGAUCCUGACUUGAUUCAAAUUUUGUUAACAGUAUAAUAGUUGUAGCCUUCCAUGUUCUUCUAUUAAUUUUAGUAUUUGAUUUGAUAUUUUGAUUCAAUUGUAUUUGAUUUCGGAGGUUGAUUGGCAGUUAUUCCUAAUUAAUAGUUCAAUGACAUUGGGGAUUGGCCAUAGCAAUUAGUAGUUAACUAUAGGAUUUAGUAUUAGCUGUUAGUGAUUAGUUACAAGAUUAGUAAAACAUUAAUUUCAGCAGCAAAAGGGUAAUAUAGGAUUUUCACUUAAUUUUUGUAAUUUUUAGAAUAAAAUAGGGGUAAUAUAGAGUUGUUAACCUGGCUUUCGUAAUUUUAGUAUCAAAAUAAGGGUAGUAUAGGUAGUCUAUAAAUAUAAGACAAUGCUAGAAUCUUUUAGACCCUUCUAAAAGGGGAUUUUAGUCUAAAAGCAGUAGUUUUAGUGCCGUAACUUGGGGAACAAGUUAAAAAGUAAAGGACCAAGUAGGUAAAGUCUGGAAACUAAAAGAGGGACUACUAGUUAAAAUGAAAAAAAAGGGUUGCCCUAGCUUUUGUCUAUAAAAAGGGACCCCAAAUCAUUCAAAAGGAGAGGUUGGAGAGUCUAAAAAUCCCUGAAAAUUCCCAGCAAUAGUCAGAGAGUAAUCCUUCAAUUUCUACAAGUUAUAACCUAAUUAAAAGAAAAAGUCAAAAUGGUCUUGUAUUAAUAUCUAAGAGUUGUUUCCUUCAAAACCUUGGCAUUAGAGCUUUACAAAUCAAUAGGAACUCGAAAAUACCCUAUUCCAUUGGAAGUCCAGCUGUUUUCAGGGUCUAUUUUUGUUUGUUCUGAGACUUGCAUCAUUUACUUGGUUUUUAAUUGUUCCUGGAGUUCCUGGGUCUGACUGCAAGUUGUUUGGGGUCAAUUAAAGGCUUUGUUGGUUCAAAUUUGGUUUUGGGUGUAAAUCUAGGCUAUUGAACUGGCUUCCUAGCUGUAUGGUUGUUCAUUUUUCCUGUUGAUUUCUCUGUUGCUCAGUGAUGUCCUCUAUUCUUCAUAUUUUGAUUUCAUUCCUGGUAUUUUCUCUAUCUCUAAUGGCUAAAGGCCAAGGAACUUAGUAUGUGCAACUGAGCAUUGAAGUUUGCCUAUAACUUGAGUGUUCAGCUGUCCAAAGUCAUGUAUUCGCAUGGAUUGCAUAUUUUAUAUAUAUGUUGAUCUGUUUUGGAGUAUUUUGAAUGUACAAUGGACAUUAAUCGGGCCUGUAUAAUUGGAAGUAUAGGAUGUUGCAUUUUUUUAACUUACUAAUUAGAAUUUAAUAUGUCAUGUCUAUACUUUAAAUAAUGAACUCUAAGGGCCAAUUGUGUCUGGAAUUAGGUUCUCACAAUGUUCUUGGAUUAAAGUCCCUCUGGUGAUUUUCGUUCUUGUCAAUUUUGAAUGGCAUAUAUUAUUGAGUUUAAAUAAUGACUUGGUCCAGUUGUUUAUAACUGCCAUUUAUGAAUGCUGCAACUUAGGUCCAACAUCCCAGUAGGUUGAAAAUUGACUAUACCUCCCUCUUGGCAAUUUAACUGGCGAUAUAUAUGGGCUUUGAGUAGGGAAGCAGGUUUUAAAAAUGAGAAUUCAUCAAAAUAUUUAAGACAUGCCCAAUAGAAAAUAUUAGUCGACUCUAGGAUUGACCUUUUAAAAUAAAAACGAGGUGUGUCACGCCAAACGGAAUCCAAAAUUGUGUGGCCCUCAUGAAAUAUUUACACUAAAAUCCUUAGAGAUUCGGGACACGCCGUUUAGCAAAUUCCACAGCUUUCCCGCAAAGAUAAUAACUCGUUAGUCACUUUUUGGCGCGUCUCGAAUAAUUUUAUCUUCCUAAGUAUGGGUGCACAUUUAUGUGACCCAAAUAAAAAAUCUCAUCGAAGUUGAAAUAUGGCAAAAAUCACGGGUGCAUUUAUGUGACGUGGUUCGAGACACAUUUUAACGAUGUUGCAAUUCUCCUUAAAAAGAAUAAUAAUAAUAAAAGCGGUUAAAGAUUCAAAAUGAACAUUGGCUCAUAAUUGUAUAAAAAUCAGAUAAUUAAAGCCAGAUAUAAUAGUUGAGCAACCAUGCUAGAACCACGGAACUCGGGAAUGCCUAACACCUUCUCCCGGGUUAACAGAAUUCCUNNNNNNNNNNNNNNNNNNNNNNNNNNNNNNNNNNNNNNNNNNNNNNNNNNNNNNNNNNNNNNNNNNNNNNNNNNNNNNNNNNNNNNNNNNNNNNNNNNNNNNNNNNNNNNNNNNNNNNNNNNNNNNNNNNNNNNNNNNNNNNNNNNNNNNNNNNNNNNNNNNNNNNNNNNNNNNNNNNNNNNNNNNNNNNNNNNNAAAUUCCUUACCCGGAUUUCUGGUUCGCGGACUGUUAAACAGAGUCAUUCUUUCCUCGAUUCAGGAUUCUAAACGGUGACUUGGGACACCAUAAACCUCCCAAGUGGCGACUCUUAAAUCUCUUAAGUCGUUGAAUCUCGUUUCGAUUGUCCUUUAAUUGGAAAAACUCCCUUAUCUACGCCCUUCGAUGCGUUGUAGUAGCCCAAAAGAAGGUGUGACAGCUCUGGCGACUCUGCCGGGGACCGAACCCAGAAUCUCUAGUUCUGGGUUCAUGAAUUCGAGCUUAGAAUAGUCGUCGUGUUUGGCUUUGUUUAUUAUCCGAUUAUUUUACAUGUUGGCUUAAUGUGCAAAAUGAUGCUUUUUACCGCUUUGAUAUUAUCUGAACUGUACAUAUAAACUGCUACAAAACCCUUCUCUUCUCANNNNNNNNNNNNNNNNNNNNNNNNNNNNNNNNNNNNNNNNNNNNNNNNNNNNNNNNNNNNNNNNNNNNNNNNNNNNNNNNNNNNNNNNNNNNNNNNNNNNNNNNNNNNNNNNNNNNNNNNNNNNNNNNNNNNNNNNNNNNNNAUUGGGAUGUUCUUACUAGUUGAGACUCCCUAUUCUGUUAGUGUCAUACCAUAAAAUAAGAAAGAGGCUCGAAAGAGGUCCCCGGUACGUAUCCCCCUCCUCGACUCGAGUUGUCCGCUCAGGUACACAGUCUAGAACAAAUACCAAGGUACUGAACUUAGCAUAACAAAACCUCAUGCCGGAUCGCUAGUUGGAACGUUUGUUUGAAUCACGUGCAUUUGAAUUAGGGGACUCAACACAGGGGUUGGGUCUGUCCAGGACAGGUGACCUGAAAUGUAAAGGCCAUCCUGAUGCAUAUUUCGUGCUACUUGUGCAUUUAGUUGUCUUGGAUUUGCAUGUUGACCGGCUUGUGAAUAACGAAAGAGACUUAAGAAAAUAAGUGGUACUGGUGCUGACUGAGAUUAAUCAUUUGUCUUGUUAAACAAUUGCUCAAGUAGCGUCGAAAUCCUGCCAGAUUUUUGAAAAAGAGGGGAAAGGGUAAAACAAAAGAAAAAUGGGCUUUUCAACAAAGUUUUUGGUUUUGAGAGAUUGUUUUUCCCGAACUACGCCAGUUUGAUUCUCACCAAGUGUGGGAUACGUAAGCAACCUCCAUCGGGUCCAACCUCCCUUAUGCAAAAAUAGCCAAAAUAAUUUUCAAAUUUUCAUUUGCCGUUCUAAAUAAAUCAGGUGACGCUGUUAUUGUCAAAAAUAGCCAAAUGUUCCCAAAAGGAACACCGGAAGACUAAUUUUGCACAAACGGCCACCUUUGGGUCUUUAUUGUAUUUCUGGCCGGUUAGCGGGCACAGCCAUGAAAACUUCCUCCGGAAGUGCUAAAAGUCGUAUUCGCAAAAGUGGCCUUUUGGUUUUAGAAAAUAAAUUUCAUAGAAAAGAACUUUUGAUUUUGUAUUCAAACAAGAAUAAAAUCAUAAGUCACUAAUUUACCUUAUUAAAUGCGCAGGAUGAGCACAAUUCAAACCGGACCUUUUUCAGUUGUAAGCUGAAUCCCUUUGGAGCUGCGAUUGUGGUGGAAUGAUCUAGGUAGAGAAGGGCAAGAUGAGAUAAAGAAUUAUUUAGGGGGCCUCCCCGGGUUAUUGAAGAUUGUACCCCAAGGAGACAUUGUAAGAGCAUUGGUCACGUGCUGGGCCCCGGCGCACAAUGUGUUCCACUUCUCAGACUUUGAACUUACCCCAACAUUGGAAGAAAUAGCGGGAUACAUUGUAAAUGCUGAGCUUCCUUUGAUACACAAAUAUUUUGUUACUCCAAGAGUGGUAGCGGUGCAUAUAUUCUUAGAUACUUUGAAAAUAAGUAGUGUGGUACAUGAUUCGAACUUGGAGGCAGGGUUUCACACCUUUUCAUUCUUGUAUACUAGAUAUUGUUACAUAUGGGGGUCGAAUAAUCCAGAAAAUAAAAUCUGCAGCAAGGGAAACCAUGUCAAGUGGGAAGAACACAGACGUUUUGCUUUUAUGGUGGAUUUUCUAGGGCUUCUGGUGUUUCCAAGUAAGGAUGGGAACAUUGACAUAAAGAUAGCAGAGGUUGUCCUCAAUUCAUGAGUUGUGGGCCACAGAGAAAACUUGUAUAGAGGAGUUUUACACGAGAAUUGAAAGGCUCAGCUUACUCGAAGGUGUAGCAAGAUGGACUUCUUACUUUCAGUCCCUCACUGCCAGUCAAAUAGUAUGGACACUAGGAUGGUGGUCAGUGGAUGAGAUCGUGUACAUGCCGGCAACAUAACCUCAUUUCCUCUUGAUGGGUAUUAGGAGUAUCCAGCCUUAUGCCCCGCAUCGGGUCUUGAGACAACUCGAAAGAUGCCAGAUAGUGCCAAAAGAUGAAGAUCUCAGUAUCCGGAUAGCCGAAAUUGGGCCUGAUGGUCAGUUCCCUGAAGCAACGGUCUGCAAGAUUUGGAAUGAAUGCCAAUACCUAACCGCAAAUACUUGCAUACAGGAUCGGACUAGAGGUAAAGUGUCACCAGGAUACCUUGCUUGGUAUAUGAGAGAAAUUGAGUAUGAGAGAUCACCCAAAACUCCUCAUCUAUAGGAAUUCAUCGAAACGUCACAGGAACAAUGGGACUGGUUAGCCAAGGAAAAUGAGUACAGGGACACCAUAGGAAAAUUAAAAAAACAGGCCAACGAGCUCCAAUCUGAAAGUGGUUUGCAAGCCGCUGCAGAUGAGGGGGAAAAGAAAAGAUUAACCAAAGAGAACGAAGCAUUGCAAGCCCAAAUCCAGAAUAUGAAAACAGCCGCGAAAAUUCCCCCCAGGAUCGCGAAGGAUGAAAAACUCAUAGACAAUUUAAGGUGAAAUGUGACCGAGUAUGGGUUCGAUUUGAAUAAAGCAGAAGGUGAGCUAUCCAUUGUUUGGAAAAAAUUAGCUAAAAAUGUGGAGGAACGAGCCCGCAUCAUUGAGCAAUUAAAAGAGAGGCAUGACGAUGAGGUUGUUGGGUUAACGAUUAUCAUGUCUGAGAGCAGAGUGGCCAAGCAAGUCGGGGACUUGAAAGCCGAGAGAGAAUAUUGUUAUGCAGCGAUAGCAAGGUUGGAAAUGGGUUUGCGGCAAUUCCAAGAACUGAGUCAGGCAGCCGAGCGAACUCUAGAGGAUAAGGCCGAGCAAAUUGGGCGAUUGUUGCAAGAGGGUGUUAUUAGUGAAAGAGUGCAGGGCGAUCGCGGACUAUAUCACCACAAAGUGCAACCAUUGCGAGGAUAUGACAAGAUCCAUUUUCUUUACAACCGCCAUGACCUUUGUUCUGCAAGUGAUGGAAGACCUCCACCACCUCCAAGGGAGUUUAGCACGCAAGCCUGCGGCAAGGCCGAAUGAUGCCUCGCGGGGCCCAGGGGAAAUUAAAGCAUUAAUGUAUUCAUGAAUAUUGCAUUUCCUUUUGUCAAAAAUAUACUAGAAAAUCCAUCAGUUAAACCUGGAGUCUGUAUUUUUCUUUUAUGUAUAGUUCGUUGUUCUUCGAGUCUGUAGUUCAUGUUUAUCAAAGCUUGUUGGUUUCUUGCUUAACCUAUCAGCCUUUCGAGUCCUUGUAACUGAAGUUUGUUAUUAUGAGAAUGGAAAUUUCCGAAAUAUUUUAUGCUUCGCUUUUUUAUUUGCAAGAACUACGCUCAAUCUGAUUCAUGCGGGGUCAUGAUACGUAGGCAAUCUACAUAGGAUUCGAGCGCAAUUGAAUAAAAUAAGAGAAAAAGUGAAUGACAUAGAAAAGAGGGAGAGAAUAAGGCUAAAACAAAGGGGCUUCGCAAAUGAAGAAAUAAAAGCCGAGAUGAUGCAAGCAACUAAGCAUGUAGUGACCGACUGUUAUUUAGGUGCAUUCAUACCUAAUAUGUGGCUGCUUAUGUGUCAGAACCUAACCAUUAACGAUUUCUGGUUUCAUUCCACUUUCAGAUUAAACAGGUGAUUGGUACUUGCGGCAUUCUGGCAACCCACUCCUACAAUACGCGGCCUAAGAGCAAGGAAGUCAUGGACAAUUAGGAAAGUGAUGUCACAAUUAUUGACCCAUCGAAGGAAGCAGAGGAAUUGGACAUUACUGCUAUAAAGGAGGAAAUGUAUAAGCUAAAGCACCAAAUGGCUGAGAUGUACCAGGCAUGGGCAAGAGGACAGCCACCCCCCGACUUAACCGGCUAAUUCAACCUUUAUCCUGCCACUGGCCCAAGCACCUAACCUAUCCACCACUGAUCCACCCUCAAGCUUUCCUAUCCAUUCACAACAUCAGGGUACGACCUCUCAACCAGCACCAGUUGUACUACCUAACGUCACUCCUCACCCUCCUCCGCCAAUUGCUCCUACCUAUGUGGCACCCCCACCUCCUGCACUUCAUACAUCAUCAAGCGAACCCCAACUUCAGGCUUAUGACCCUCCAUACUAUCCACCAGAACCUACUUACAAGACCCAUAAGCCUUAUUCUUACGCUCCCCGUCCCGAAAUCCCGACGGGAGUUGAAAAACCGAUCAAAACUCCUGAGCAGGAAGAGAUGCUUAGAAAGGUCUGGAGUCUGGAAUAAUCAUUCAGGGACAUACGGGGAUUAGGUGGAUAAGUGAGCAUGGCAUUCAAGGAUCUUUUUUUUUUUUUGGCGGACGUGCAGUUGCCUCCAGGUUCAAGAUGCCUAAAUUUGACUUAUAUGAUGGGCAUAUCGAUUCGGUCGCGCAUCUAAGGGGGUUUUGCAGAAAAAUGAGGGGAGCAGGGGGAAAAGAUGAAUUAUUUAUGGCGUACUUUCACCAGAGUUUAAGUGGGUCGGUUCUGGAGUUGUAUGCUCGGCAGGAUCACAAUCGGUGGUAUACUUGGGAUGACCUGGCGCAAGUGUUUGCCUGCCACUUUCAAUAUAAUCUUGAGAUUGUCCCGGAUUGUAUAUCUCUAACAAAGCUGGAGAAGAAACACAAUGAGAUUUUCAGGGAGUAUGGUUUUCGGUGGAAGGAACAAGCUUAUAGAGUUGAUCCUCCCAUUAAGGGGAGUGAGAUGGUUGAUUAUUUUCUACAGGCUUUGGAACCUAACUAUUUUUGAAAUUUGGUGUCAGCAGUGGGGAAAUCCUUCAACGAAGUGGUCAAGAUGGGAAGUAUGGUCGAGGAAGGCCUCAAAUCCAAUAAAAUCAUGAGCUACUCUGCAAUUAAGGCAACUACUCAGGCCAUCCAGGGUGGAGCUGGGGAACCUUCGGGAAGAAGAAGAAAGAGAAAGUAGCGACAGUGGAGUCGGGAACUUGGUUCAGACCUCGAGCGCCAUCUCAUUAUGCCCAGCCCUGUCCUCACCAUCAAACAUACCCACAUACUCCAUACGGCCCACCAUAACAUUACUAUCCACCACCAGAACCUUGCUUCUAUGUCCAUCACGUGCAAGCAUAUACCCAGCCUCCCGCUCACGCACAAUGGCGUGCGCCACCCUCACAAAAUACCUACCCAACUCCACAAAAUCAUUACCCACCUCUAAUAGCGAACCAAUAACCCCUGAAGCCCGCCUUCUGAGCCAAUCCGAUCCUAAGAAAUGAAACGGUGCAGAAGAAGAAGACUUUUACCCCUCUGGGAGAAUCCUACACUAGCUUAUUCCACAGGCAGCGGCAACUGGAUAUGUCUUGACCAAUUGAAGCAAAAUUGCAAAAUCGUCACCCGAAGAAUCUAGAUUAUUCUGUCAGCUGUGAAUACUGUUCGAGUACACCACGGCAUGUCACUGAAAAUGUUGGCAUUUAAAGAACACCAUCCAGGAACGUAUUUACUCCCACCGAAUUGAUCCCCAGAGGUGCCCAAUAUCAACCAAAACCCGCUGCCGGCCCAUCAGGAAACCAACAUGAUUAAGAUUAUGCAAAAAAGGGGAGAGUCCAAAAGGCCCUCACAAAUGGUAAUGAUGAUCAAAGACAGUGAGUUUUAGCCAACUGAGAGCGCAAGCAGUGAGAAGCUAGUAUCCGGGGCAAGAGAAAAAGACAGUAAACCUGUCAUAGUUCAGGGGAGCUCAGCAUACGCAGUUGCGCCAAAGCAGGAACAGGCAAAAGUAACAGUAGAAAGGGCAGCUAAAGAACCUGUCGUGGUUGUGGAAGGUUUUCGCAUAGAGCCAGUUAUUGUAAAUCCAGUGAACCAGCCACCAAUCAUCAACAGCAAAGCCAUUCCCUGGAGAUAUGAGCAAGAAAUAGCGACGUACAAGGGAAAAGAAGUUAGGGAGGAAGUGUGUCAGGCACGAGGUUUAACUCGAUCAGGAAGGUACUUUGCCCCGGAAGAAUUGAGAAAGGGAAGAAUCUUUAAAGAUAACCUAGAACUAGUGAAGAAAGUUGUGUCAGAAGAAUAGGUGGAAGAAUUCUUGAAGAAAAUGAAAACACAUGACUACUCCAUCAUAGAGCAGUUAAGGAAGACACCAGCUCAGAUUUCUUUGUUAUCCUUAAUAAUCCACUCAGAUAAACACCGCCGGGAGUUGAUGAAGAUUUUGAAUGAAGCUCAUGUCCCAGAUAAGAUAACGGUGAAUCAUUUGGAAAAGAUUGCAAACAAGAUAUUUGAGGUAAAUUGGGUCACAUUCUCUAAUGAUGAAUUGCCCAUGGAGGGCAGUGUGCGCAUCUGGGCUCUUUAUCUGGCUGUGAAAUGUGAAGAUGUUGUGGUUACUCUAGUUUUUGUCGAUAACGACUCAAGUGAAAAUAUUUUUCCACUGUCCAUAUUGACCAAGCUGAAGGUGGAAAAUAAAAGGGUCCGCAAGAAUAACAUCUUUGUUCGAGGUUUCGAUGGUGGAGGUAAAGACACUGUAGAGGAUAUAGUGUUGGAAGUGACAAUAGGGCCUGUUGAGUUCAUUAUGGAAUUCCAAAUGCUGGAUGUAGCAAUCUCUUAUAACCUUUUGUUGGGUAGGCCCUGGAUUCAUGCAGCCAAAGCAGUACCAUCUACUCUGCAUCAUAUGGUAAAAUUUGAAUAGGGCUAGCAAGAGAUUGUGGUGCACAGUGAAGAUAUCAGUGCACUUCAGCUGACGCAAUCGUACCUUUCAUUGAACUGAGGACAGCAAAGGGCCAUGGGUCAACCAGGUCUUGAUACUAUUUGAGUUGAGAAAAUCCCAGAAAGGUAAGGUUUUCACAACCCCAAAGAUAGCAACCACGUCCGUCAUGGUGGCUUCCAAAAUGUUGAAAAAUGGUUUUACACCCGGCAAGGGGUUUGGGGCUUCUCUGCAAGUCAUUGUGCAACCAGUGUCCCUCCCCAAAAUCCUGGACAUUUUCGGCCUAGUGUUCAAGCCUACAGCCGCAGACAUAAGGCGAACCAGGAAGCUAAGGCAGAAGGCUUGGGCUCUCCCAAGGCUAUCCAGAUCAUUCGUCAAGCCCAGCACUAGCAAUGGCCCCGGACCAAAGCUUUUUUUCCCGUUAAUCGAUGCAGACAGAUAUAGUGAUAAGGGGUUAGAAAGACUGCUAAAUGACGUGAAUAUGGUCGAGGCAGGAGAAGGAUCAAGCAGGGCGGAUAUGAAAUUUGUAGGAGCAUGCGCAGAAAGCAUUAACCGGGAAGCCACUCCUUUUCCCACUCGGAGCGAGUCGUGGUCGUCGCUUAGAUUUUCCUUUCAUUCUAGUUUGGAUUAGCGUCAGAGUUGUUAAUUCAGUUAUUAUUUUCGUCCAUUUGGAUGUGUAAACUCUGUUAUCUUUGAUUCUAAUGAAAUGCAAUUUCCCUUCCAGCAAUACUAAUAGUUUCCAUUUCUAUUUACUUUUCUUUAUUUUCUCUUUUGUACAAUUAUUUUUAUAUUGGUUCCAGUGAUCUGACAUGCAUAAGGACUCCUUGGCCCAGUAAAUAGGCCUAAUUCAAAAAUAAUAAUUCAGGAAAUAGAACGUGAGGAUGAACCAGGGUAUGAUGAGGAGGGGGCAUGGGAUGAGAUUAGUAAAGAGUUGACCCAAUUCGAAGAGAAACCCAAACCAAACCUGAGUAACACAGAGGCAGUCAAUUUAGGAAGUCCGGAUAAUGUCAAAAAAAUAAAAAUAAGUGUCCAUCAGGAGCCACAACUUAGGAAAGAAAUAAUUGAAGUGUUGCUUGAGUACAAAUUUGUCUUUGCAUGGUCCUACGACGACAUGCCCGUAUUGAGCACUGACUUGGUUGUCCACAAGUUACCCACUGACCCAGUCUGCCCGCCUGUCAAGCAAAAGUUGAGAAAGUUCAAGACUGAUGUGAGAGUGAAAAUUAAAGAGGAAGUGACCAAGCAGUUUGAGGAAAAAGUCAUCUGAGUCACACGAUACCCCACUUGGUUAGCUAAUGUUGUGCAUGUACCAAAGAAGGACGGUAAAACCAGGGUGUGUGUUGAUUACCAUUACCUCAAAAGCAUACCCAAAAGACAAAUUCCCACUGUCAAACAUCCACAUAUUGAUUGACAAUUGUGCGAAGCAUGAGAUCACCUGAUCUUAAUAGUUUAAGAAGAUGAGGAGAAAACAGCGUUCAUCACACCACGGGGGACAUAUUUUUAUAGAUUCAUGCCUUUUGGUUUGAAAAAUACCGGGGCAACAUACAUGAGGGCUAUGAAAACCAUUUUUCACAAUAUGAUGCAUGAGGAAAUUGAGGUCUAUGUGGACGAUAUGAUAGUCAAGUCCAGAAGGAAAUCUGAUCAUGUCAAAGAUCUGAGAAACUUCUUCCAAAGGCUCCGCAUGUAUGACCUCAAACUCAACCUGGCGAAAUGCGUAUUUGGGGUCCCCUCGGGAAAAUUGUUAGGGUUCAUAGUCAGCCACUGAGGUGUUGAGCUAGAUCCAUCAAAUAUCAAAGCUAUACAGGAAUUACCAUCGCCAAGGAACAAAAGAGAAAUGAUCAGUCUAUUGGGAAGAUUUAAUUACAUCAGUCGGUUCAUUGCUCAGCUCACAACCAUCUGCGAACCCAUCUUUAAGUUGUUGAAAAAGGAUGAUGCAGUGAAAUGGAUAGGAGAGUGCCAGGAGGCUUUACAAGAUAAAGAAGUAUUUGUCGAACCUGUCGGUAUUGGUCCCGCCGGAACCAGGAAGACCUUUUAUCUUAUAUUUGACAGUCUUAGACAACUUAUUUGGGUGCGUGUUGGGUCAGCACGAUGUUACCGGCAGAAAAGAGCAUGUCGUAUACUACCUCAGCAAGAAAUUUACAGCUUCCGAAGUUAAGUAUACUCAUCUUGAAAGGACAUGCUGCGCCUUGACAUGGGUAGCCCAGAAGUUAAAGCAUUACUUAUCAUCAUAAACCACUUAUCUCAUCUCUCGUCUGGAACCAUUGAAAUACAUUUUCCAGAAACCUAUACCCACAUGAAGGCUCGCGAAAUGGCAAAUCUUGCUCACUGAGUUUGACAAUAUAUAUGUGACUAGGACCGCCAUAAAAGCAAAAGCAUUGGCAGAUCAUUAAGAUAAGAAUUCGAUAGAUGGAGAAUAUGAGCCCAUGAACACAUACUUCUGCGAUAAGGAAGUGAUGCACAUCGAUGAAGCGGAACGGUAUGGAAAUUGUUCUUCGAUGGGGCUGCCAACAUGAAAGGCGUUGGGAUAGGAGCGGUGCUCAUUUCUGAAGAAGGUCAUCAGUACCCAGUAACAGCUUAACUACGCUUAAAUUGCGCCAACAAUAUGGAAGAAUAUGAAGCAUGCAUUUUGGGUUUGCGAUUACCAGCAAACAUGGGUGUCCAGGAAAUCUUGGUCUUGGGAGACUCAGACCUUCUGGUAUAGCAGAUUCAAGGGAAGUGGGAGACAAGAGAUUUAAAACUCAUACCAUACCGGCAAUUCUUACAUGAUCUCUGCCAACGAUUCUUUUCAAUAGAUUUCAAUCACAUCCCCAGAACUCACAAUGAGGUUGCAGAUGCCCUGGCUACUUUAACGUCAAUGUUACAUCAUCCGGACAAGUCUUAUGUUGACCCGAUACAUAUCCGGGUCCACGAUCAGCAUGCUUAUUGCAACAUGGUGGAAAAAGAAAUUGACGGAGAGCCUUGGUUCCAGAAUCAGGAGAGGUGUGUACCCGGUACAAGCCACGAGUGACCAGAAGAGAAUAAUCCGUCGUUUGUGAAGUGGGUUUUUCUUCAGCAGAGGAAUAUUAUACAAAAGAAAACUAGAUCUUGGUUUGCUAAGAUGCGUAGAUGUUGGGCAGGCAACAACCAUCAUGAAUGAGGUGCAUGCUGGCAUCUGCGGGCCACACAUAAGCGGAUAUGUUUUGGCAAAGAAGAUUCUCCAGGUAAGAUAUUAUUGGCUUACCAUGGAGCGGGACUGCAUCAUCUUUGUACACAAAUGCCACCAAUGUCAGGUGCACGGAGACUUAAUUCACUCUCCGCCGUUUGAAUUGCAUACGAUUUCUGCACCAUGGCCUUUUGUUGCUUGGGCCAUGGAUGUCAUCGGACCCAUUGAGCCAGCAGCUUCUAACGGACACAGAUUUAUCUUGGUUGCUAUUGACUAUUUCACCAAAUGGAUUGAACCCAAAACCUUUAAGGCAAUGACCAAGAAAUCUGUGGUCAACUUUGUGCACACAAGUAUCAUUUGUCGGUUCGGAAUUCCAAAGACUCCCAUCACUGACAAUGGGGCAAAUCUCAACAGUCACUUAAUGAGAGAAGUACGUCAGUAGUUCAAGAUCACACAUCGAAAUCCUACCCCGUACCGCCCCAAGGCGAACGGAGUGGUUGAGGUGGCCAAUAAGAACAUAAUGAAGAUACUUCAUAAAAUGGCGGAAGGGUCCAGGCAGUGGCAUGAGAGGUUACCCUUUGCAUUGUUAGGUUAUCGCACUACCGUUCGCACCUCCACAGGGUAGACCCCAUACUUGUUGGCGUAUGCCACAGAAGAUGUAAUCCCGGCUGAAAUUGAAAUCCCUUCCCUUAGGAUCGUGGCUGAAGCAGGAAUCGACGAAGAAGAAUCCGUCAAAGCUCGAUUGGAGCAGCUGAGUCUGAUUGAUGAGAAAAGGUUGGCAGUGGUAUGUCACGGCCAGUUGUAUCAACAGAGGAAGGCCAGAGCAUAUAACAAGAAAGUGCAUCCAAGAAAGUUUGAAGUGGGUCAAUUAGUAUUGAAACGCAUCCGCCCUCACCAGGCCGAGGCAAAGGGCAAGUUUGCUCCAAAUUGGUAAGGACCAUUUGUUGUGUCAAGAGUGUGUUCCAAUGGGGCAUUGUAUCAAACAGAUGUGGAAGGAAAAUGUGUAGAAAUGGAUAUCAAUUCAGAUGCAGUCAAAAGAUAUUAUGUAUGAUUUUCUUUGUUAGAAUCAUUGUCUAUACUUAGCACUUAUUUGUACGUGGUAUAUUUUGAAAAUUGGAAUGAUAAAGGCAUUUUAUUUGGCUAUCUAAACACUUUAUCCAUUGCUAACCCUUUUGAGCUUUAAUUAUUUUCUUUCAUACCCUUAUUUCGGAAUCGGUAACAAAAGUAAAGAGACAACAACAAAACAAAGAAGAGGAAUGAAUAAGACAAAAGAAAAAGAAAAGAGAAACAAGGAAAAGAAAAGAGAAAAGAGAAAAGGAAUAAAAAGAAACAAAAACAAAACAAAGAAAAGAAAAGGAAAAAAUAAAAACAACAGCAAAAACAAGAAAUCGGUAUGAACUACGUGUAACCUGAUUCCUUUUAAAGAAUACAUAGGCAGCUUCACGGUUCGGUCUCAUCAAAAUAAAAAUGCAAGAGUCCCCAAGCAAGAAACUAGGGCAAAAGUUGUGGUUGUAAGAAUUUGAUUCCGAAAGGUGUAAUUUUGAACUCAUUUGAAUUGCUUUGAGCCAUUGAUAUCUUUUCUUUCUAACCCUAUCCAAAAGCCCACAAUACGAUCCAAAGACAGACCUUCUGAUCAUUCAUUAAAAGAUGCCAAGUUGAUAAAAAUAGAGGUGAUUCGUGUCAGAGGCAGCACUCUGAGCCAAGCAAGAGAGAUGAUAAAACGAAAGAGUCUUAUCGGUGAAAACCCUCACGGGCACCUUAAGGCAACUAGAGAAACAGAAACAAAAAUGAGAGAGUCUUAUUGGUGAAAACUUGUGUGAGAACCAUAAGGCGAUGCGAGUUGAGAAAAACAAAAUAAGAGAGUCUCAUGGGUGAAAACCCUCAUGGGCACCGUGAGGUGAAGGUGAGGCAAAAAGCAUAACUCAGAAAGGGGCUGUCGGUAGAUGAAAAUUGUAAGGCAGGCCAAGCUAGGGAUUUGUUUAAUGAAUCAGGAUAGAAAGGUGACAACAACGAAAGCAAGGCAACAGAAGGUCGGUCAUCGAAACGGAUUGGGUCUACUAGACUGAAGUGCAUGUCAUGAUCAUGAAAACCACUUGUUCCUCUUCAGAUAAGUUUUCUUUCUUUUGUGUUCAACAGUCUAUGAGUCUGGAAUUCUUUACCCUAAACACCGUCCAAAUAUCAUUGCAUUUCAUUUCUCUUUCGAACCUCUAAAGUCUUUUGUUUAAGCAAACGAAAGGAAUUUCAAACCCGAUUAUCAAUUCCCCAAAGGGAUAAAGCGCGUGACGCCCAAAGGCGUAACAAAGAUAACAAAUGUGGAAUACCAAGAGGAAGGAUUUACAAAAAAACUGUAAUUGAGGGAAGAGAUAAAAGUCGUCAAAGUAUAAGAACACCACGCAAGACGGGGAUGCAAAGUAAAACCACAAAGAUCGAGGGUCAGUCAAGCAUCAUAAAUGGGCCAGGUAAUCCCAAGAAAGGGUAAAGAUUUUAGCAAAGGCUUGGAAAUGUAACACCAUGAUGAGAAAGAAAACAAACCCAGAAGGGUCAGAGGAUCAGCCAAGCAUAAACACACUAACUCAGCAAUCAUCAGAAAGGGGUACAAGGCUCCUAUCAAAAGCGCAACACAAAGAUGGAAAUAGCCAUAAGAGUUCACCCAUCAAGAUAUAUCAACUCGUCAAUCGUCGGGAAGAGUCAUAAAAGAAUUCUGGUAAAAGGGUCGGAAGUGCAACACAAAUUAGGGAGCAAAAUAAAGGCACAAAAGGCAAAGGCCAAAACAACAUCAUGGACAGAAGUGUUGAUUCCAAGAAAUGGUGCAAGGAUUUCGGCAAAGGAGUGGAAAGGUAACGCGGAUAUGAACAACAAAGUGAAGCUGCAAGUUUUGGAGGGUUGAUCAAAGUAUGAUAUAUCAAAAUCGUCAUUCAUCGGGGAAGGACAUAUAGAAUUCUGGAAAGGAUUAGAAUUGUAGCACAAUGAUGGGGGGGGAGAAUAAGGCUUAGAGAUACCGAGGGGUCGGCUGAGUAGUUCAAGCAAUUCAUCAUCAAUACGGGAAAUGGAACACAACGGAACACGACAAUGGGGAGGAUGCUUUCAAUAAGAAUAACGCGAGUCAACCACUACUUUUCGAACUGAAAGUUUUCUUUGAUUGACACAGGGGCAGAAAACUCCAGAAGAGCCUAAUAGAGGCCUUCCAUAGGAGAAGGCAGGCACACGGCAGGUACGAUCAAGAUCUCAGGGCCCACCUGGAAGUGGGACUCAACUAGAACUCAAAAGGGGAAUGGUCAGUCAUAAACACCCCCCCCCCCCCNNNNNNNNNNNNNNNNNNNNNNNNNNNNNNNNNNNNNNNNNNNNNNNNNNNNNNNNNNNNNNNNNNNNNNNNNNNNNNNNNNNNNNNNNNNNNNNNNNNNNNNNNNNNNNNNNNNNNNNNNNNNNNNNNNNNNNNNNNNNNNNNNNNNNNNNNNNNNNNNNNNNNNNNNNNNNNNNNNNNNNNNNNNAAACCCCCCCCCCCCCCCCGGUAAUGAGCACAAGGGGACAAACAUUAACUAGCAAACCCCAAUAGAAACAAUUGAGAGUUAAGAGAAGUGUAGAAUUUUAGAUAGAACGCAGUUGGAAACUCAGACAGGUACGGGUAAAAUGGACAGGCACAAACACCUCCCUCAGUAAGAGUCACAGAAACCCUUCUAGACAAUAAUCACUAGCAGAAACAACCAGAAAUUGGAAUUGGCAUUUAAAUUGGAACCCUCAGGACCCCCCUGGAAAAUGGGACUUAUGUUAAGGUCAGGAGUAAUCAUGGAUAACAAAUAGCAUAAAAUGACUUGCAUGUUGAAAUAAGAUCCAGUUAAGAGUUGUCAUGACCCUCCUGAAAAAUGGGACUUAGCUUAGAUACUUCCCCAACAAGAGUCAACAAGAGUUGUCAGAGCCCCCUGGAUAAUGGGACGUAGCCCUGAAUACUAACCCCCGGUAGACACAUUUUAUCAUCAAAUUAAGAGUUUCCAGGCCCCGCCUAGAUAAUGAGAAGUAGUUUUAAUCACCAGUCACCAGCAGACCCCAGCAGAUAUAAUUCAUAACAAGACAUAGUGGAAAAUAAUACCUUUUGAGAAAUAUCACAUAGUCUUAAAGUUGUCAUCAGUUAAGAAUUGUGAAGACCCUCAUGGAUAAUGGGAAUUAGCUUAGAUUAAGAGAUAUUUGGUAAGGAGAUUUGAUUAACACUCACGGAUCCGCCCAGCAUCAAACUGGGGCAGGAAGAAUUUUUGUGUUUUGUUUGUUUUGUUGUGAUUAAGAGAACUAGCAGCAGUCUCAGGGAACAUUUUUCAGGUCGCGAGAAUUGGUAUGGUAAUAAGGCGCCCACCUGGAGAACAAGGGAAUCUUUUCAAAAUUUAAGUUUUCGCAAUCAAGUGCCCACCUGGAGAAUAAGGGAAUAUUUUUUUCAAUAUUUAAAGUUUGGCAAUCAGGCGCCCACUUGUAGAACAAGGGAAUAAUUUUCAAAAUUCAAGUUUGGCAAUCAAGUGCCACCUGUAGAACAAGGGAAUAUUUUUCAAAAUUCAAGUUUGGUAACCAGGCACCCACCUGUAGAAUAAGGGAAUAUUUUUCAAAUGUCAAGUCAUGGCAGUCAGGUGCCCACCUGUAGAAUAAAGGGAUGUUAUUCAAAGAUGUGAGCCUUGGCGAUCAGGCGCCAACCUGUAUAACAAGGGAAUGUUUUCAAGCUUCGAGUUUUGUAAUCAGGCACCCACCUAGAAAACAAGAGAAUACAUGUAAAGUCCAACAAUUUGGCAUCAAACAUGAAGGAAGAAAAAGCAAGCAGCCAACAAGGACACAAGGAGUUCGCAGGAAGAAAUACGAGGCAACAAAGCAACAAGGAUCAAGAGCGACAUUGAAGAUAUAGAUAGGCUUUUCUUUGUAAUAUGUAGCUUAUAGCUUAGUCUAAUCUUCUUUUUAAUUUUCACGAGGUGUAAUAAGGAGGUCAGCAAGCAGUAACAGCAGCAUCAGCAGUAAAGUCACAACUCAUGGUAGUCCCAGCUACCAAACACUCCAGAACUACAUUGACCUGAUUCCUUUAUACCCGACUAUCGUGACCUUAACAAACCAAGUCCAAAAGACAACUUCCCACUGCCAAAUAUCCAUAUAUUGAUUGACAAUUGUGCAAAGCAUGAGAUUGGGUCCUUCGUAGAUUGUUACCCAGGCUACCAGCGGAUUAUGAUGGAUGAGGAGGAUGCAGAGAAGACAUCAUUCAUCAUGCCAUGGGGAACCUAAUUGCUACAGGGUCAUGCCAUUCAGCCUGAAGAAUGUUGGGGCAACCUAUAUAAGGCGAAUGACAACCAUCUUCCACGAUAUGAUACAUAUGGAGAUUGAGGUCUAUGUGGAUGAUGUAAUUGUGAAAUCCAGGAAGCAAUCCAACAAUGUAAAAGACCUUAGGAAAUUCUUCUAGAGGCUCCGCAAGUAUAAUAUCAAACUCAAUCUGGCAAAACGCACAUUUCGGGUCCCCUCAAGGAAGUCUCUAGAGUUCGUAUUCAGCAGCCAAGGCAUUGAACUAGAUCCAUCAAAGAUCAAAUCCAUACAAGAAUCGCCACCUCAGAGGAACAAAACAGAGGUGAUGAGUCUGUUGGGGAGAUUGAACUACAUCAGUUGAUUCAUUGCUCAACUCACAACAACCUGCGAGCCCAUCUUUAAGCUAUUGAAAAAGGAUGUUGCGGUUAAAUGGACGGGAGAGUGAUAAGAGGCUUUUGAUAAAGAUAAAGAAUACUUCUCGAAAAGACUAGUAUGGUCCCACCAGAACUAGAAAGGUCCUUGAUCCUAUAUCUAACAGUCUUUAACAACUCAUUCGGAUGUGUGCUGGUUCAGCACGAUGUCACCGGGAGGAAAGAACAAGCCAUGUAUUACUUCAGCAAGAAAUUUACAGCUUACAAGGUUAAGUAUACUCAUCUUGAAAGGACAUCUUGUGCCCUAACUUGGGUAGCCUAGAAGUUGAAACAUUACUUGUCAUCAUAUACCACUUACCUCAUCUCGUACUUGGACACAUUGAAAUACAUCUUCCAAAAGCCCAUGCCCACGAGGAGGCUUGAAAAAUGGCAAAUCUUGCUCACCGAGUUCGACAUUGUCUAUGUGACCAGGACCGCAAUGAAAGCGCAGGCAUUGGCCAAUCAUUUGGCCAAAAAUCCGGUAGAUGAAGAAUAUGAACCUUUAAAGACAUAUUUCCCGGAUGAGGAGGUACUGUAUAUUGAUGAAAUGGGACAAAGCGAGAAGCCGAGAUAGAAAUUAUUUUUUGAUGGGCCCACCAAAAUUAAAGGCAUUGGGAUGCUUGGACCUGUUGAAAAACAUCUUCCAGAAGCCUAUGCCUACAAGGAUGCUUGCAAAAUGGCAAAUCUUGCUCACCGAGUUCGACAUUGUCUACAUGACUAGGACCACAAUGAAUGCGCAUGCAUUGGCUGAUCCUUUGGUCGAGAAUCCAGUAGAUGAAUAAUAUGAACCUUUAAAGACAUACUUCCCAUACGAUGAGGUAAUGCAUAUUGAUGAAAUGGAAUAGGGCGAGAAGAAAAGAUUGAAUUGAUUUUUCGAUGGGGCUGCCAACAUGCAGGGCGUUGGGAUAGGAGCAGUACUCAUUUCUGAGUUAGGGCAUUGUUACCCCUUAAAGCUCAGAUUCUCUUCUAUUGCACCAACAACAUGGCUGAAUAUGAGGCAUGUAUUUUGGGUUUAAGAUUAGCUGCGGACAUGGGUGUCCAUGAAGUCUUGGUCUUGGCAGACUCGGACCUUCUGGUACACCAUAUUCAACGGAAGUGGGAAAUACGAGACUUGAAGCUCAUAUCGUACCGCCAAUACUUGCACGACCUUUGUCAACGAUUCCUGUCAAUAGAGUUCAUGCAUAUCCCAAGAAUUCACAAUUAGGUUGUUGAUGCUUUGGCCACCUUGGCAUCAAUGUUACAUCAUCCAGAUAAGGCCUAUGUUGAUCCAUUGUAUAUCCAAGUCCAUGAAAAUUAUGCUUACUGUAACGUAGUGGAGGAAGAGCUUGACGGUGAGCCUUGGUUUCACGACAUCAAAGAAUAUAUCAGGAUGGAUGUGUACCCAGUACAUGCCACAAGUGACCAUAAGAGAACAAUCUGUCGUCUAUCAAGCAGGUUUUUCCUCGGUGGAGGGGUGCUAUACAAAAGAAAGCCGGAUCUUGCAUUGCUAAGGUGCAUAGAGGCUAGGCAGGCCACAGCCAUUAUGAAUAAGGUACAUUCUGGAGUCUGCGGACUGCACAUGAACAGAUAUGUUUUGUUGCAGAAGAUUCUCCGGAUAGAGUAUUAUUGACUCACCACGGAGCAAGAUUAUAUCAUUUUCGUGUGCAAAUAUCAUCAAUGUCAAGUGAAUGGAGACUUGAUUCACUCACCACUAUCUGAAUGCAUAAAAGAUCUGUUCCAUGGCCCUUCCUUUCCAGGGGCAUGGAUGUCAUCAGACCCAUCGAGCCAGCAGCUUCUAACGGACACAGGUUCAUAAUGGUUGCUAUUGAUUAUCUUACCAAGUGGGUUGAAGUAAUAACUUCAAGGCAGUGACCAAGAAAGCCGUAGUCGACUUCGUACAUUCGAGUAUCAUCUAUUGGUUUUCAAUCCCGAAGACACUCAUCACUGAUAAUGGAGCAAAUCUCAAUAGUUAUUUGAUGAAAGAGGUAUGUCAGCAGUUUAAGAUUACAUCACAAUUCCACCCCAUACCGCCCCAAGGAAAAUGGAGCAGUUGAGGCAGCCAAUAAGAAUAUAAAGAAGAUACUUCGGAAAAUGGUGGAAGGGUCUAGGCAAUGACAUGAGAAGCUACCCUUCGCACUAUUACGAUAUCGCACUACUAUUCUCACCUCAGUGGGGGGUAACUCCAUAUUUGUCAGUAUAUUGCGCAGCAGCAGUAAUCCAGCUGAAAUUGAAAUCUGAUCCCUUUGAAUUAUCAUCGGGGAAGAAAUUGAAGAUGAGAAAUGGGUCAAAACUCGUCUAAAACAAUUUAGUUUGAUUGAUGAGAAAAGACUGGCAGCAGUAUGUCACGGCCAGUUGUAACAACGGAGGAUGGCUAAAGCAUAUAACAAGAAAGUCCGUCCAAGAAGGUUUGAAGUGGGUCAAUUGGUAUUGAAAUGCAUCCUCCCUCAUCAAGCAGAGGUAAAGGGAAAGUUCGCCCCAAAUUGGCAAGUGUCGUUCGUCGUGUCAAGAGUAUUGUCUAACGAGGCGUUGUAUCUAACAGAUGUGGAAGGCAAGUGUGUAGAAAUAGCCAUCAAUUCAGAUGCAGUUAAAAGAUACUAUGUAUGAUUUUCUUUGUUCAAAUCAUUGUCCAUACUUGGCAUGUUUUUUUGUACUUGGCAUGUUUUAGAGAACGAAAUGACGAAUGAAUUUUAUUCAGCUAUCUAAACACUCUAUCAUUUGCUAACCCUUUUGAGCUUUAAUUAUUUUCUUUCAUACCCUUCUUUCGGAAUUAGUAAGAAAAGUUAAAAAUGCAAGUGUAAAAGUUAGUGAAAGAAAAAGCAACGAAUGAAUGAAAAGAAAGAAAAAGAGAAAAGAGAAGAAAUAAGAAAGAAACAAAAAAAAGAAAAGCAAAAGAGAAGAAGAAAACAAAAAGAAAAAGGAAAAAAAGAAAAAGAGAGAAAGGAAAAACCCACGAAACAACAAAAGAAAAAUGAAGAAACAGAAUAAGGAAAAGAAGAAAAGAGAAUACCACAAACAAGGAAUCAGCAUGAACUACAUUUGACCUAAUUACUUUUUAGAGGAUACGUAGACAGCCUCACGGCUCAGCCAUAUUCAAAUAAAAACUCAAAGGUCCCCAAGCAAGAAACUGGGGCAGAAAUGGUAGUUAUUGUAAGAAAUUUGAUUCCGAAAGGUCUAAUUUUGAACCCAUUUGAAUUAUUUUGAGCCUUUAACACCCCUUUUUCUUCUAACCUUAUCCAAAAGUCUGCAUUACGGUACAAAGAAAUACCUUCUGAUCAGUCUUUAAGAAAUGCCGAGUCAAGCAAGAAGAGGUGAUUCAUACCCCAAGGCAAUACUCUAGUUCAAGCAAGAAAAAGAAAAUAAGAGAGUCUUAUUGGUGAAAACCUUCUCGGGCACCGUAAGGCAACAGGAGUUGAGAAAAAAGAAAAUGAGAGAGUCUUAUUGGUGAAAACCAUCACGGGCACCAUAAGGCGAAGGCAAGGCAAGAAACAAGCGACUCGAAAAAGGUUGUUGGUGGAUAUCUGUCCAGGACACCAUAAGUUAAGCAAAGUAAGGUUUUGGGUAAAGGGUUUGGGUCUAAAGAAGGUAGCAACAACAAAGCAUACAGCAAAAGGCCGAUCAUUUAGGCAGGCUGGGUCAACUAAGUCAAAGUGCAUGUCAUGAUCAUGGAAACCACUUGUUCCUCCACAGAUAAGUUUCUUUUUUUCCCCUCAAUAGUCGCCAAACUUGGAAUUAUUUUAUUCUAACACCAAACAAUUCAGAGUCAUUGCAAUUUCAUUUCCUUUAAUGUUUCUGUUCUUCUAAGAUGUCUCCAAAGUCAUUUUGAUUAAGCAGGUAGGAGAAAAAUUUCAAAGCUUAUUACCAGCUCCAAUAUGGAAAAGUACAUACCGGUCAAAACGUGACAAAGGCAGCAAAAGUUGAAACAACAAGGGGAAAGAUCAGUGAAAGUUUCGUUAAUAAACCGACUCAGUAAUUUCAGGAAGGAUGUAAGGAUUCUGGAAAAAGGUCAAGAGUGCAACACAAUGACACGAGAGUAGGGUAAAGUCAUAGGGUUCAGGGGUCGGUCGAGCAACUCAAGCAGCUCAUCAUCAGUGCGGUAAAUUAAACACAACAGAACAUGACAAUAGGGAGGCCAUUCUCAGCAAGAAUGUCGCAAGCUAACCACUACUUUUAAAACUAACAAGAUUUUCUUUGAUUGAAAUAGGGGUAGAAAAUUCUAGAAGAUCCCGGGGAAGUCCUCAACAGGGGAAGGCAAACACAUGGCAGGUAUGACUCUGAACCUCAGGACAUUAUUGGAAAAUGGGACGCAGUUUAAAUUUCAAUAGGGAACAUAAUCUGGUACAAAUAUCUACCCAGAGUCGUUAGGAUCCUCCUAAACAAUGGGAUGUAACUUUAACUAGAAAACCCCAACAGAGACAACUGAGAGCUAGAAUUUGCAUUUAAUUUGGAAUUUUCAGGACCCUCCUGGAGAAUGGGACUUAUUUAAAGGUAGGAUAUAAUCAUGAAUAGCAAGAGCAUAAAAUGGUUUACAUGAUUGAAACAGGAUUUAGUUAAGAGUUUUCAGGACCAGCCUAGAUAAUGGGAUUUAAUUGUAGAAGCUUUCAGGACCCUCCUGAUAAUGGGAUGUAGCUUUAAAUACUAAUCCCCAACAGACACAUUGUGUCAUAUAACUAAGAGUUGUCAGGACCCACCGGGAUAAUGAGAUUUAAUUGUAGAAGCUUUUAGGACCUUUACUAAACAAAGGGAUGUAGCUCUGACUGCUAAUCCCCAGAAGACACAUUUGUCAUCUAAUUAAGAGUUCUCAGGACCCUCUUGGAUAAUGGGAUGUAGCUUUAAUUACCGGUCCCCAGUAGAUCCCCAGCAGAUGGAACUCAUGGCAAGGCAUAGGGGAAACUAAUACCUUUAAAAAACAUAUCCUGAUCUUAAAGGUUGUCAUUAGUUAAGAGUUUUAUGGACCCUACUGGAUAAUGGGAUUUAGCUUCCAAAUAUUAGAGAUCUUUGAUAAUGGGGUUUGAUUAACACUCACAAACGCUCCCAACACCAAGCUGAGGCAGAAAAAAAUUGCUUUUGUUUUGUUUGUUUUUUGUAAUCAGGUUUAAAGGCAGCAAUUUCAUUUCAAAUUUCAAGUUUUGGUAAAUAGGCGCCCACUUGGAGAACAAGGGAAUACUUUUCAAGUUUGGAAGUUUCCGUAAUCAGCCUCCCACGUGGAGAACAAUGGAAUAUUUUUCAAGUUUCAAGUUUAGGUUAUCAUAAGCCCACCUGGAGAACAAGGGAAUACUUUUAAAUUUUUCAAGUUCUGGUAAUCACGGGCCCACCUGGAGAACAAGGAAAUACUUCUCAAGUUUUCAAGUUCUGGUAAUCAGGCGCCCACCUGGAGAACAAGGGUAUACUUUUCAAGUUUCAAGUUUUGGUAAUCAGUCGCCCACCUGGAAAAUAAGGGAAAGCUUUUCAAGAUUCAAGUUUUGGUAAUCAGGCUCCCACCUGGAGAACAAGGGAAUACUUUUCAAGUUUCCAAGUUUUGGUAAUCAGGCACCUAGAGAAUAAGGGAAUACUUUUCAUGUUUUCAAGUUUUGGUAAUCAGGCGUCCACCUGGAGAACAAGGAAAUACGUUUAAAGUUUUCAAGUAGUGGUAAUCAGGCGCCCACCUGGAGAACAAGGGAAUACUUUUCAAGUUUCAAGUUUUGGUAAUUAGGCACCCACCUGGAGAACAAGGGAAUACUUUUCAAAUUAUAAGUUUUGGUAAUCAGGUGGCCAUCUGAAGAACAAGGGAAUACUUUUCAAAUUUUAACUUUUGGUAAUCAGGCGUCCACCUGGAAAACAAGGAAAUACGUUUCAAGUUUUCAAGUAGUGAUAAUCAGGCGCCCACCUGGAGAACAAGGGAAUACUUUUCAAGUUUCAAGUUUUGGUAAUUAAACACCCACCUGGAUACCAAGGGAAUACUUUUCAAAUUUUAAGUUUUGGUAAUCAGGUGGCCACCUGAAGAACAAGGGAAUACUUUUCAAAUUUUAACUUUUGGUAAUGAGGCGGCCACCUGGAUAACAAGGGAAUACUUUUCAGGUUUUCAAGUUUUGGUAAUCAGGCGCCCGCCUGGAGAAUAAUGGAAUACUUUUCAAGUUUUCAAGUUCUGGUUAUCAAGCGCCCACCUGGAGAAUAAGGGAAUACUUUUAAGAUUUCAAAUUUUUGUAGUCAGACGCCCACCUGGAGAAUAAGGGAAUACUUUUCAAGUUUUCAAGUUCUGGUAAUCAGGUGCCCUCAUGGAGAACUAGGGAAUACAAUUCAAUUUUUUUUGUAAUCAGGCACCCACCUAGAGAACAGGGGAAUACAUUUCAAGUUUUUGUAAUCACGUGCCCUCCUGGAGAACAAGGGAAUACAUUUAAAGUUUCAAAGUUGGUAAUCAAGCGCCCACCUGGAGAACAAGGGAAUACAAUUCAAAUCCAAAAAUCAAGCAUCAACAUGGAGAAAGAGAAACAUAGCAACAGGGCAAAAAAAGUUUCACAGAAAGAAGUACAGCAAAACAACAAGAAGUUACACAAGGCAACAAAGCAACAAAUAUCAAGAGCAAGUUUGAAGACAUAGAUAGGUUCAUUUUUAAUCCAUAGUUCAUAGCUUGGUCUAGCUUCUUUUUGUUUUUACGUGGUGUAAUAAGGGGUUACAACAAGUAGUAGCAGCAGCAACAACAACAACAACAACAACAACAACAACAACAACAACAGUGAGAUCACAACUUCGGUAGUCCCAGCUACCAAAUGCUCCUGAACUAAACUGACCCGAUUCCUCUUUAGUCGAGGAUAUGUAGGCAACCUCUGAAGCAAGGUGCGGUCAAACCUUUCAAAAGUGCUUCUCACGGAGUGUUCAUGCGGCCAAAGAUCGCUCAUGUCCGCUCACUUGUCUUUGCACGAAAAUGCUUCCUGUUUCCGAGCAAAGAGGAGCAGUUGUGAGCAUGUUAUUUUUGCCCUACAUGAAUUACUCCUAUAAAUUCAAACAAAAUCAUUUCUUUUAUUUGUUUGCAAUGUUGUGAAUUUUUUGGAAUCCUUCGUUGUUUGCAUUUUGUUUGUGCAUUUUAAUUAGCGGAAAUACAAAAAAUAUGUUGCAUGUGCAUUUAGGAGCUAAUUUAACAUUUUAAGAAUUAUUCAAUGAUUUAGUCAUUUUAUAGAAACGAAAAAUAAAAAAUAUGGCUUAAUUUGCACUUUUAAGUUUAGGUUUGAUUUUCUUUUUUGUAAUUUUUCUCUUAAUCUUGUUUUAAUUAUUUGUGAUAAUAAUUAUGUAGGAGUAAUUAGGAUUUUUAUAGGUUAAUUUGGGAUUCAUAAUUAAUAUGGAUUUAUAAAAAAUUUUGACAAUGAAAAAUGAAAAGAAAAAUGAAAAAACAAGUGCAAGAAAAUCUGAAAAUCAAUUAAAUAAAAAGAGGACCCAAGUUGGGUCAUUUUUAAAGUAAAAUGCAGUCUAAAUAAAAAUCCCACAAACUCGAUCCAGUGCCCGCCCCAACCAAACGACAUCGUUUCGAAGCCAACCAAUCACGGCAGUUCGUAUUAUUUAAUCGAAUGGUUGAGAAGUCUGGAUCGUUUGAUAUAAAUGCGUCCAAACGACCCCCCCCCCCCCCAAAAAAAAAANNNNNNNNNNNNNNNNNNNNNNNNNNNNNNNNNNNNNNNNNNNNNNNNNNNNNNNNNNNNNNNNNNNNNNNNNNNNNNNNNNNNNNNNNNNNNNNNNNNNNNNNNNNNNNNNNNNNNNNNNNNNNNNNNNNNNNNNNNNNNNNNNNNNNNNNNNNNNNNNNNNNNNNNNNNNNNNNNNNNNNNNNNNNNNNNNNNNNNNNNNNNNNNNNNNNNNNNNNNNNNNNNNNNNNNNNNNNNNNNNNNNNNNNNNNNNNNNNNNNNNNNNNNNNNNNNNNNNNNNNNNNNNNNNNNNNNNNNNNNNNNNNNNNNNNNNNNNNNNNNNNNNNNNNNNNNNNNNNNNNNNNNNNNNNNNNNNNNNNNNNNNNNNNNNNNNNNNNNNNNNNNNNNNNNNNNNNNNNNNNNNNNNNNNNNNNNNNNNNNNNNNNNNNNNNNNNNNNNNNNNNNNNNNNNNNNNNNNNNNNNNNNNNNNNNNNNNNNNNNNNNNGAAAAAAAUAAUAACCUUGUAUCAUGCCUCCAACCUCACCCUCUGAAACCCUAAUGCCACAUCCCUCCGCCAUGUGCCGCCGUCCGGAAAUCGCCACCGCCGGCGGCGGAACCCCAAUCGCCACCAAAUUAACACCCCUGAUUCCUCUUAUCCUCCUCUACCCAAAUUUGUAACCCCCUUCCCUCAAAUCCCAACCCAUCCCGUCGAAUGUCAGUUUUAAAUACGGCUCCUCUGUCGUGCACGGCGGCGCUGCCACCCAACCGGUCCCAAAUUAACACCAAAUGACCUCCUAGAGCUCCUCCUCAUCAUCCACACCCUUGUAGUCUCCCUCGAAUCUAUCCGAUCAUCUCGUAUAUUGAAUCAAAAAAACCUCAGCCAAACCCUACCACUACAAACCAUACAAAAACCAUACCCUACAGUCUCCUCAUCUCCUUCACCUCUAAAUCACAACCAGUUUCCCUUGACUGUCCCUGCAACUCCUCAAAUUUUGAAUCUAGGGUUUCUAGAGUGAUGCAUGAAGAUUUCCAGGGUUCAAUCAUAUUUUUAAUCUAAGGUUUCUGUUUACUUUUUAAUUUCAUUCUUUUUCAUCUCAUUUCUGUAUAUUUGGUUGUUAGUGCUUAAUUUCAGGGUUUAGAUUAAGUCUUUAGUUUGGUUUAUUUAAAUGGUAUUAGUCGUUUUUGUUAGUUUGGGCUUUCAUGUCAAAUUCUAUUGGGUCGAAGGUUUACAAGUUUGAUUGAUUUUCAGUCUUCUUUGUUUGGAAUUGAAUUUCUGAUUUUAGUCAAGUUAUUGAGUCUUGCUUGAAUUCCAUUUCUUUUAAUUCAUGAGUAUAGUUGAGUUGUAGUAGGUCUUUGUUGGAUUUCAUAAAUAAAUUCCAAAAUUUAAAUUAUAUCUCGAGCAUAAUAGUCAAGUUGUGUCAGUCUUAUUUGAAAAGACAUGAGUCCAACAAUCAAUUUGUGUUUAUUGAAUUUUCUUCGUUUAAUCUGUUCGGAUUUUAUUGAUCUCUUCUGUUGAAUCACUUCUAUGUGUAAUUUAUGGGUUUUAAACUAGGUCCAGUAAUUUAGUGUUAGGUUGGUUAAUUAGGUAAUCCCACAGCUUGAAUUUUCUGCAUGGUUUUUAAAAAAUGUCAUACUUAAUCCGUUUGGAAGUAAGGGCAGUUUGGGAAUUUGAUUUAGGGCAACUGAAAUAGGAAGCCUCUAGUAGGGGCUUCCUGUCAAUUUUGAUGUAAAAACUUGGCCCCCAAGUUAAAAAAUGAGGGACUAAAAUACAAUUUUAACACCAUAAGGGCGCCCUAGUGUGCUUGCCUAUAAAGGCAACUCUUCUUGCUUUAGAAGGCAGAUUGAGGGGGAUAGAAAACAAUAUUCUGAAAAACAUAGCUGAAAAUUGGAGUAAAAUUAUUGUUUCAUUGGAAAUUCAUUAUGUGAUUUUUCAAAUGGUCAUUUCCUGAAUGUGUAGUCCAAUGGAUUUGAUUUAGAAAUGAAUUGAGAUUGGGGUGUUGGAGAUUUGGGGUUUGAAAUUGAUGUGGUCAUUGUUCAAGGGAGGCUGUUUUCCAAUAUUUUCAUAUCUAUGUUGCUUUUACUGAUACAUUGUUGGUUCAAGUUUCGGUUUUAAGUUGGUCUUCUUCAGCCUUUUCUGGGAAAUUUUGUCUGCUGAACAUUAUAACUGAUGAUGUUGAGUCUUGCUGUUGAUUUACUGGUAUUACUUAAGCUCAUAACUUCUCUAUUUAUUGCUAUAACCAGGCAUGAAAUUCUGUAACUCCCUGAUUGUGAAGUGAAGGGAAGAAAUGAAUGAAGAGCUUGAAGUAUUGACUAGAUUUUGUAGUUUAUUUACAAUGUUCUUCAUAAAAUUUGUAUAUUUGACAAUCUGAUGCAAUAUGAUGUGGCUUGCCUUUAGAUAGACCAGCUAUAUCACUAUUUUGUAACUGAACUAAGGACUGUUAGAGACGUCUUUAAUUGCUUUCUUUAAUAUGCAAUGUUAGAACUGUUAAAUAGCUACUUAGUUGAUGGUAUUGUCGAUUUUUAAUAGUUUAUCAUGUUUCAAACGUAUUAGGGUAUGAUAUUGAAUGUUAGUAGGUCAUCGAAAAGGUUUCAUUCAUGAAGUUAGGGUACUAAGUAAUGGUCAAAGUUCCCUUAAUACCAAUUUUGGAAAAUUAGAGUAUCAUGAAUCUAGGAUAGUAGUUUAAUUAUGAGUUGUAUUAUUAGUUGUGUUUUCUUUAAGAUGGUUAAGUUCAUCUGAUUGUUAUUGGCUUGCGCAUCGAUUUGUAGCCAUGGGGUUUCAAUCUCGAGGCUUCGUAAUAGGAGACUACAGAUUCUUCAGCUUCUUUUUGGGAUGGCAUUUGGGCCCACUUCACCUCCCCGUCAUUAAUAUAGAAAUCCUUACACAGUUCCUUUCGGGCCAAUGGUUAGUUUAGGCCAAAAUCCUGAAGGGAAGUUAAAAGAGGAAUGUAGCUAAUUCUAUUUGGAUCCCUCGACCACUAAUUAAAAGAGUUUAUCAAAUACAAAGACUUACGGCUUUAAAAACUUUAGUUUAAUCCCCUCUUAUAAUUAUGCUCAAGCUAUGCCAAUGCUAAACAAUAUUGAACAAUUGCAAUGCCAUCAUUUAGUUAAUUUUGUAUUGAUCCUUAGAAUUCGAGGCAUGGCGCUUAACUAAACUUCCAUAGCCCUCGCAAAUUGCAAACGCGUAUUCAUUUUAGGCGCACUAGUUAAAUAAUGUACAUUCCUAAAUACGGGUUCGCAUUUAUGUGACCCAAAUCCAAAUCUCAAUACUAGGUAAGAUGUAUUGCGGGCUACGGGUGCAUUUAUAUGACAUGAUUCAAAAUGUGUUAUAACGACGUUGCAAUCUUCUUAAAGAUUAAAUAAAAGAGGUUAGAAGUUAAAAUUUUCACAUGGGUACAAAAAUGCAUUAAAAUCAGAUAAUUGAGCCAAGUAUAAUAGUUGAGCGACCUUGCUAGAACCACGGAACUCGGGAAUGCCUAACACCUUCUCCCAGGUAAACAGAGCUCCUUACCCGGAUUUUCGGCUCACAGACUAUAUAUAGAGUCAAACAUUCCUCGAUUCGGGAUUUAAAUCAGUUGCUUGGGACACCAUUAAUUAUCCCAAUUGGAAACUCUGAAAUCUCUAGAUAAAUAAGUCUUGUUUCGAUUAUCCUUUAAUUGGAAAAACUACCUUAUCCACCCCCUUUCGCCGGGGUUGUAGUGUUUAAAAGGAGAUGUGACAAAAUUCAAAUAAGGGAAAGGGUACGGGAUCAAGCAUGCUUGUACCAAUUCACAAAAGUAAGUUCAUUAUAGUAAGAGCCUACAAUAUCCCAAGUAGAGUCGCUAUGUUGUUGCCCCCUAUUUUUCCUUCGUAGGGAAGUCCGGGUUUUGACAUUCAUUAGGAACAACUCGUUUCCUUUUGGAAUUUUGUUAUUUGAAGAGUCUCCACCUAACGGAUUAUGGUGAGUUAGGGCAGCAACAGUGGUUAACUCGUGUAACUAGUUUGCAUCACCAGAAAUUAGGGUAAGGGCUCGAAAUAACUUUGAGGGGUAGGUGUUAGGCACCCCUCGCAGUCCACAACGGAGGUUCCGGCCGAACUUAAGCUAUGUGAAUUAGUCUUCUAGCAAGUAAACAAUUUCAACAGAUACUUCCAAAUAAGAGCAACUUUUACAUCCUAAACAGAGGUAUGAUUUAGGUAAUGGGAGCAAGAGAGAGGUUUGAACAACUUGCACAUAUGUAAAUAAAAGGAAGUUCAUUUAAAACACAUAGGAACUGGGAAAACGGGUCCUAGGUUAUUUAGCCUACAGGAUCAUACCCACAUAUGACAUUAGAGUGUAGUCACUCUUCAAUGAGGAGUUACACAUGACAUUAGAGUGUAGUCAUCAUAUCCUUACUAGCCAAUUCUCUCCCCUUGGUCGUAGCCUAAAGCGUUCUAGGAACCUUGAAAGAUAUCCUAUUCAUGCACUGCAUGUCUCUUCCUUGUGGCUCUAGAGGUAUUUAGGACCUCUAUUAGGUAGUUAUAGACCAUCCUAAGGUUCCUAAAGGAGAAAAGUCUAGGCGUCAACCAAAACAAUUAGGACUGCACUAUAGAGAGAAUAAUUAAAGUCUCAGAUUUUACCUCUGCAAACAGAACAAGUGCACGUCUCAAACAAUAGUUCUUAGAUAUAUAAGAGGAACGCUAGAACAGGAUAUCUAGGUGACUAGUGAAUAUGCAGUAUUGAGUUAGGACCAAAGUGUCAAAGACCUAGUUUGCCUAUUGAUUUUAAACUUGUUGAACAUGAGUAGUUACAAAUACAAGGCAUACUUUUACAGUUUAUAGGAUUGUUAAUCGCCCUAUAGGCUUGCCUAUGCGUAUAAUAGUAAUGUCCUAUGAGCAUGGUAUCGAAUCAUUGAUCAAGAAUGCAGCGGUAAAGAAUCUUAAACGGGUAAUUUGAAUCCUAUUAGGCAUGCUUUCUAGUGAUAUUGAUUAACAUGUUGUUGAAGAAACGAGUAGGUUAGUUAAUUAAACUGAUUCAGUACCUACAGGUGUGAAAUAAACUGAUUUUAGAUCUAACUAAACUGGUUUAAGAUCCUAUAGGCAUGGUUUCUAAUUAAACAUAAGGUGAAGCAAGAAGAAUUUAUUUGACCAAAGUGGAAUCCCUAUAGGCAUGAUUUUUAUAAAAGAUGAUUUUAAAUCAUAUAGGCAUGAUUUCUAAGGGGAUGAAUUAGAAUACAUGUUGUAAUGGAAACUGAGCCUCGGUUACUUUACACACUAUUGGAUGGUAUCUAAUUAUAUGAAAUGGAGAAGGUAUAAUUCAUUUCAACCAAGAAAUCCUAUAGGCAGAUUGUCUAACACAGCACCUGUAAAUAAAAAUAAACUAUGUAGGCAAGUUAUCUACCAACUUUUACCCAUAGUAUACAGCUACCCUCCCUUUUCACUAGCCACCUCAAUAUUUGUUUACGAUUAUUAAUUACAAACCAAGAAUUGAAUAUAAAUUACAUAAUUAGAAUAGAAGUUAAGCUAUAGGGAGCCUGAUGCACGCCCAAAGCAAUCCUGGUGUACGAAGCCUUCACUGGUCUCAAGUGCCUAGAGUUCCAUAGCCGGUUUCAUGUUUAGGUGUGUGAGAGUUCCCUAAGGACUUCAAGGUUCUCGGGCAGUGCUCACACCUAGACCUUUCUA
rnacentral:lncRNA from 1 species